rnacentral:lncRNA from 1 species
CUUAAUUGUACUAUAUAUUAUGAUUGUCCACUUCUUUUUGUGUAUGUGAGUUUCUUUUUGGCAAAAUUAAAUUUCAGUUAAGAUGCAUGUACUAGUGAUAUCAUUGCCUUUGGUUAUAUUGGUAGUGAUACUGUUAGCCCUUGCUUGUUACUUCUUUGGUAAAUCAAGGCGUCGAUGGUGAGAAUGGAUGUAACUUUUUCGAUCUGAAAUAACUUCUCUAUCUUUAAGGGAGAUAGGGAGGUAGGGUUAAGUUUCCGUACGUGUUGUUCAAAAAGUAUAGUCUAUCCUAGCCUUUCUUUGGAAGAUCAAGCAUCAAUGGAACAUUUACUAUCAGAAAUAACUUCUCUAUCUCUAUGAGGUCGGAUAUGGUUGACAUACAUUUUGUUCAAAGAAUAUACUAGAGAGUUUUAUUAUAUCUUGUUACUUCUUUGGAAGAUCAAGGUGGUGUUGGUGUUUUUUUUUUUGUUUUAAUUUCUUAUCCGGUGUUCGAUAUCUUUAUUGGAACUCAAAUUAAUUUGAAUCGUACAGUGCAAAGUUCAUUUUGGGGGUGACGUUAUCAAAAUUUUCUCCCUACUUAAUCAUUCAAAAUGCUUUAUUAUGACUCAUUCUUUAAAGAGCUUUAUAUCUUGUUGUACGAUGUCUCUUGAUUUUGUAUUUUUUAAAAAAAUAAGAAUGAGUAGUACUUUAAUUUAUAUCAUAUGAUAUUGUGGUAUCUUGUGUUGAAUAUGUUAUUUUCUUUUACGGGUAAACAAAAUUUGUAUACGUAGAAUAAUAAUUUCAACUUUAAUUUUAUUUUUAAAAAUAAGAACACAAUGGAAUGCAGUAAAUAUCCUCAACACAAGACUAAAGUGAUCUUUUCAAGAGGUGUAUUUGAAUUUUAUAAAUAAAGAUGAAAACAGAAAUGAAUAAGGUUAAGUUAGUUUAAUUCACGGAGUUUCUUAAGGAAAUAAUUUUUUUCAUUGUAUUUGAGGUUAUGAAAUUUUUUUUUUCAGGAUAAAAUGGUCUUCAAUUUAAAUAUAGCGGUACUUUAAAUAUUUGGAAUCGUCGAACUCAUUCAACAGUUUGAGUGAUCACACAAAAUUUUUGAAGAGGAGUAUUUUUUUUUAUUUCGAAAUUUUGUAUCUAAAUCUGUAAAUGAAAACAGGGUUAUAUAGUCAUAACAUGUCUCUUUGAAAAAGUGGCAUUGAUUCAAUUAAAUGGUGUGUUUUUUUCUAGAAUUUUAUGUCCAUUCAUUCAAAGAAUAUGUUUUUUCCCGAACAAGCAUAUCAGUUUACGAAACAGUGGCAUUAGUUCACGAAACAGUGACACCAGUUCGAUGAAGUAUUGCAUCAGUUCGAAACACUGUUUUGAAUUCUACAUGCAUGUAUAUAAAAAAAAAGAUUUACUGCGUUUGUGUUUUCCCUUUGAUGUUUUUUGAAAUUUAAAUAAAAUUUAUUCAAAAAGAUAGAUCUCAUCGAUCACUUGUCGAAGCCGAGCCACGACGACGACAACGCGAGGUAUUUUUAUUUCCUUGCCUCGUUUAUCUUGUGGAGUAAGUGUUCAUUAUUAUAAACAUUUUAAAGUUUUGUUCUUUUAUCAAUGUGGGAGACACUUUUUAAAUCGGUAUCUCCUUCUCUCCACUAUUUUUCUCUCUAUUUUUCAUUCACACUUUCUUCAGAACCCAACAGAAUAGAGAGAGAGAUUGAAAUUUUGUGAAGAAAGUGUAUUCAUAAAUUGCUGAUCAAUUCAGUCACGAGUUUAAAUUAGACAAAUCGGAAGUCUUGAUUGAAUUUGGUAAUGGUGGUUAGAUGAAUUUGCCGAAAGUGUUUGCUCUUAGAAAAAAAAAUUAUUCUUGUCUUCGAGUUAUGUACUAUCCUUUAGCGGUGGACAUGGUAUGGUAUAUACCGAAUUAUUAUAUUAAAUUGAACAUUUUGAUAUCGUAAUUUUAAUAUUAUAGUAUUUGAUAUGAUAUAUGAUAUAUAUUUUAAUUUUUUUGAUAUAUGAUAUGAUAUUUGGAAUUUGUAAAUGAUAUAUUGAAAUAUCGAAUAUCAUAUUAAAGUGUGUAUAUAUAUUAGUGGAGCAUGAUCCGUGUCAGCACGGGCCCAAUAUUAACAUAUUUAUUUAUCUUUUCAAUUUUGAUAUAUUUAAAUAAAAAAUUUUAAUAAAAAGAUUGCAUAUAUUUUCUAAGAUUUAUUCGGAAUCUAACAUGAGUUAGACAUAUGUUAUUUUAAUAUAUAUUUAGAUAAUUUAAGUUGUUAACUAUUGUAAUUUAUAAUAUUUUUUAUGUAAUUUUCAAAUUAAUAUACUUUACUUUUCUUAUUCAAUUUUUUGUGACAUUGAUAGUCAAUUAUAUUUUAAAAAUAAUUUAAGUUUUUAAUUAUAGUGAUUUAUAAUAUUUUUCUUCUAUUCCAAUUUCAGUGACUUAAUAUAAUUUCAAAUGUCGAUAAAAUAUUUUAUAUCUUUUAAAUUUUUUAAGUUGUUAAUUAUUGUGAUUUCUUGUAUUUUUCAUGUAAUUUUUUUGAAAUAUAUAACAUAUUAAAUUAUUUUUAGAUAUUUUAAAUUGUUAACUAUUUAAUUUAUAAUACUUUUUACGUAAUUUUUGAAUAAUAUAUGUUACUCUCCUUGUCCAGAGUUUUGCGUUGACGGUAGCCAAUUAUAUUUUUCAAAUAAUUUAAAGUUUCUAUCACUGUGAUUUAUAAUAUUUUUUCUAUUUCAACUUAUAUGGCAUAAUGCUUAAAUGAUCAUAAUAAUUAAUUAGAGGUGAUAUAGUAAAUUGUAAUUAUUAUUAUUUGUUAUUUUUAUUAUGUGUAUGUGUUGAUUCAAGAAGAAUUUGGAAACAUUUAGAAAUGUGUUGAAUGUUACAAAUGUUAAUAAUCCAUUUGGUGCUUUUUGACUUUUCUACAUUUAUUUCUUGUGUGUUUUUACUCUUUUCCCUUUGAGUAUAUGUAAUAAUUGUUAAUUAUUGUUAUUUAAAGUACUUUUUAUUUCAUUUUCAAAUAAUAUAUGUUGCUUUAUAUCUUCUUCUGUCUCAUCUCAAUUUAUGAGGCACUAAUAUAAUUUUGAUAGUCAAUCAAAUAUUUUAUGUGUGACAUAUCAUUUUGUUAUUCUUAUUUUUCUAAUACAUAAAUGACUUAUAAUAAGGAGUUAUAUAGUAAAAUCAUCGUUCGAAAGAUGAAAAUUUAAUUUAAAAAUUAAGAGUUAAUUUCGCAUUUUAUGUCUAUUUUAUUUUUAAUUAACUAUUAUUUAUUUUCUUAAUACCUAGAUGACGCAUAAUAAUUAAUUAAGAGCGAUUGAUUAUGUUAUUACUAUAAAAAUUAAUAUAAUUUUAUCAUAUUCAAUAGUAAUCAUCGAUAAUUCACCGAAAUAGUAUACUAAUUAAAUACGGGAUGAUAUAUUUGCAUAUGCAAAAUAUGAUAUUAUUAAACAUUAUUGGAUAGUGCAUUAUAUUUAUCUUUCAAUAUAAUAAAAUUUUACUAUAUAUUUUUCUUUAUUUCUUUUUAACUUAAUACAUAUUGAUCCAACACAAAUUCUAAGAAAGUAUUCAUUAAAAAUUUAUUUUAUUAAAUUAAAUUUGUUAAUUUUGUACUUUAAAAAUUUUAAGUUAAAUUUAAAUAUCAAUAUUUCUAUAUAAGAAAAAAAUAAUUUUCAAAUUUAAAUUUAUUAAAAUAAAUAAAUAAAUAAAAAGAUUAAUUUUCUAUAUAAAAGUCAAUUAAAAUAAUAGAAUUGAUUUACUUUAAAUAUUUUGUUGCAAUUAAUUAAGAUAAUUUUUUAUUUUGUCAUGAUUUAUGGUGCAUCGAUAAAAUUUUGAGAGUUGGAUAGAACUUUUAUCUAUUUUUAAAAAAGCAUUUUAACUUGUUCAUUAUUGUGAUUUAUAAUAAAUUUUACGUAAUUAUCAAAUAGUAUAUUUACUCCUUGUGUCCCAAUUUAUGUGGCUUCGAUACAAUUUUGAGAAUCACCUAAAAUUUUAAUAUAUUUUUUAAAAUAUUUUAAGUUGUUACUUAUUAUGAUUUGCAGUACUUUUUAUUUUAUCUCAAUUUAUGUGACAUUGCUAAAAUAAUGAGAUGCUAAAAUAAUGAGAGUCAAUAAAAUUUAUAUAUGUCUUUUAAAUAUUUUAAGUUAUUAAUUAUUGUGAUUCGUGGUAGCAAAUUAGUUUUGAACAUGAUAGCCAAUUAAAUAAAUAAAAAAAAUUAACUUCCAAUAUGUAGUUAUAGUUAAUUAAUAUAAAUUAAUAGAAUAUAUUAAAUAUUUAAAUCAUUAUGAUGAAAUAAUGAAAUUAUUAUAUAUUUGGACAUGAUAUGUAAUUAAGUGAAAGUAGAGGAGUUUUUUGGUAAUUGCAUGAGAGGUGGUCAAAACCACCUUUUCUAUCUAAUAGAAAUAGACACAUAUACUAGUUAUUGAUAGUCCGUUCAAGGCACGAUCUCAAUAUAUGUUAUUAUUUUACUUUAAUUUAUGUGACAAAUAGAAUUUAGAUAAUCAAUCAUACUUUUAAUAUGCUUUUAGAUAUUUUAAGUUGUUAAUUUUUGUAAUUUAUAAUAUUUUUUAUGUAGUUUUUAAAUAAUAUAUGUUAUUCUCCCCGUUCAAACUUUUAGCUUUUAUAGUAUUGAUAGUCAAUUAUAUUUUAAAAAUAAUUUAAAUUUUCAAUUAUUGUAAUUUAUAACAUUUUCUUUAUAUUCUAGUUUAAGUGAUAUUGAUAUAAUUUUAAGAGACAAUUAAAUAUUUUAUGUCUUUUAAAAUUUUUAGUUUUAUUUUACUUUUUAUUAAUUAAAUAUUAUUAAUUUUUUAAUAUUUAGAUAACUUUUAAUAAUUAAUUAGAAGUAAUAUAGUAAAAUUAUGAUUGAACCAGCAAAUCGGACAUGCCUUAAAUGACUCACAACAAUUAAUCAUACGUGAUAUAAUAAAAUUAUUAUAAAAAAUACUUAUGAAAAAAUAAAAAAUUUAAGUGUGCAUAUAUAAGACGUUAAGUUAAUUUAAAACAUGAAGAGUCGAGUUAAUUUAAAACAUGAAGAGUUAAUUUAUUAUUUUAUUUUUUAUUAAAUAUUAUUAAUUUUUUAAUAUUUAGAUGACUUCUAAUAAUUAAUUAGGGAUAAUAUAGUAAAAUUACGAUUGAAGUAGCGAGUUAGAUAUGUCUUAAAAAUGACUCACAUCGAAGUGAUGUAAUAAAAUUACUAUAAAAAGUGUUUUUGAAAAAAAAUUUAAGUGCGCCUCAUAUAAAACGUAAAAUUAAUUUAAAACGUGAAGAAUUAAUUUAUUAUUUUAAUAUUAUUAAUUUAAUAUUUUAAAACGUUAAAUGUUAUUAAUUUUUUAAUAUCUAAAUAACUUAGUAAUUAAUUAGGAGUGAUAUUUCAUAAAAUGACAAUUGAAGUAGCUGAAGAAUACAUGUCAUAGAUGUCUAUUUUAUUUUUUAAUUAAAUACUAUUAAUUUUUAUAUGUGAAUGACUUAAAAUAAUUAAUUAGGGGUGAUAUAAUAAAAUCAAGUACUAAUUAAAAGUGAUAUAGCAAAAUUAUUAUAAAAAUAUUCGUGAAAAAAAUUUAAGUGGGUCUUAUAUAAUACGUCAAGUUAAUUUAAAAUAUCAAUAGUUAAUUUAUCAUUAUAUCUAUUUUACCUUUUUUUUUAUCAAAUAUUAUUAUUUUUUAAUACUCAAUUGACACAUAAUAAUUAAUCAAGAGUGAUAUUUAAUGAAGCUGCGAUUGAAGCAGCUAAAGCAGACACAUCAUAAAUAUCUAUUUAACUUUUUUAUUAAAUAUUUAUUAAUAUUUUAAUAUAUAAAUGACAUAUAAUAAUUAAAUAAGGGUGAUACAGUAAAAUUACAGAGCAAACAACUGAAGAAGAAGCAAACAUGUUGACGGAGACCUGCCUGCUUCUCCUUCUCAUUCCCUCUUAUAAGAUAUCAUAUAUAUAUAUAUAUAUAUAAUUACUUUAUUUCUUUGUUUGCCAAAUAGAACUUUGUAGAGAAAAUUGAAGGAAAGGUGUCUUUUAAGUCUUGAAUAAAGGAUUGAUGACAUUGACCAAUUUAAAGGGUCAAACAUAAUUAAAAUACUUGAUUAUGUUAAUUGUGGACUUGAUUAAUAUUUUAUAAACUUUUUAAUCUUUUCAAAAAUACAAAUUAAUCACACCCACAAAACUUUCCUUCCUCUGCAAAUCAAUCUCUCUCUCUUCUCUCUUUCUCUCGAUAGUUACUCUCUCUAACUUCUCCCAACCAACAACUUUUCAAAUUUUCCCUUCAAUCUUGUGCAACUUUAACCUCUGGCAACAAAUAGUUUUGAGUUCUUGUCCGUUCCUUUUUUACUUUCACCGUCAGUCGACGUGACAACAUUCUCCGGCGACAACAACUUUGAGUUCUUCAUCGUUUCUUUUCGAUUUUCACAAUUAAAAAUUAGGGCUUUUAAGUUAUGACGAAAAUGAGGAACUUGAUUUGUUGGUGUUUGUUAUUUUUUUAUCUUUUUUUGUUAUUUUUUUAAACGUUUGUUAUUUUCUAGUUGAAUUUCUCAUCUGGAUGUAUCUGCUACUACUGUUUUUAAUAAUGGAUAAAACGUGUAACGUGAAUCCAACAGAUGAGUAUUGGUUGCAACAUAUAUGACUAAUCUGUUGCAACAUAUAUGACUAAUAUGUUGCAUAAGUUAGUAAUCUGUUGCAACAUAUAUGAAUAAUCUAUUGCACAAAUUAGUAAUAUGUUGCAACAUAUAUGACUAGUCUGUUGCAACAUAUAUGACUAAUCUGUUACAACAUAUAUGACUAAUUUGUUGCAACAAAUGAGUAAUCUGUUGCACAAAUUAGUAAUAUGUUGCAACAUAUAUGACUAGUCUGUUGCAACAUAUGACUAAUCUGUUACAACAUAUAUGACUAAUUUGUUGCAACAAAUACGUAAUCUGUUGCAACAUAUAUGACUAAUCUGUUGCAACAUAUAUGACUAAUUUGUUGCACAAAUGAGUAAUCUGUUAUAACAUAUAUGACUAAUCUGUUGCAACAGAUUACUCAUCUGUUGGAUUCGUUUUAUAGUGUUGUAAUAUGAAUCCAACAUAUACAUAUGGGUCAUCUGUUACAAUAGAUUAGUCAUAUAUUGUAAUAGAUUACUCACUUGUUGCAAUAGAUGACUCAUAUGUUGAAUUCAUGUUGCAGGUUCUAUCCAUUGUAGCAGUAGCAGAUACACUAAAUAAGAAAUUCAACAAAAAUUAUAAUUUUACUUACAAAAUAAGCUACGAAGUAAUGUCCAAGUGAUAUAUGAACAAAAUUUGACCUAAAUUUUUUUUAAAAAAUUUCAAUAGGGACACAACGAAUAAGUAAAACAUAUGAAAAAUUUCAUGAAACAGGUAAAGAAGACAAAAAUAAUAUACCAUAUGUCAAAUGCAAAAGGAUCAAGGGGACAAACAUUUGAGUUCUCCUAAAAACGUUUAAAUUCCCUAAUAUUUUAAUUAUUUUCUAAUAGUUGAUCCAUCUGUUACAACAGAUUUUCUAUCUGUUUGAUAAUUUCCAACCGCUGAAUCAUCUGAUGCAACAUGCUAGUCAUCUGUUGAUUCAAAUUAAGCAAUUAUUAAUAAUAACUAAAUUGAUUUAGCUAAAAUUAAAGACGUCUCUACGACAAUGGGACAAACAUUUGUGUUCUCCUAAAAUUAUUUGAUUUCCCUAGUAUUUUAAUUAUUUUUCAACAGAUUAUCUAUUUAUUGCAACAAAUUAGUCAUUUAUUGCAACAGAUGUUUAUAACAAGUUAGUCAUUUAUUUAUUCAAAUUAAGCAAUUAUUAAUAAUAACUAAAUUAAUUUAAUUAAAAUUGAAGACAAGUCUUUAAUAUAAGACCUUAGACAAGGGAACAAAUGUUUGAGUUCUCCUAAGAAUAUUUUUUAAAUUGCUUUUCAACACAUAGAACUCGGAACCAAAAUGAGCCACGGAAUUAAAAAAGUGACCAAAAUAGGCCACCAAUUUAAAAAGUUACCAAAAUAGUCAAAACGUAAUAAUUUAUUACGUUUUCUACUUUUUUCUUAACGGUCAACUAAUGGAGUUGACUUUUACAAAAACUUAAGAAUUUCUUACGUUUUACAUUUGUUUUUGUAAAACGUAAGAAAUUCUUAUGUUUUAUAAAAAAAAAUAUAAAACGUAAGAAUUUCUUACGUUUUACACGAUAAUCAAGGAAAAAAAUACAAUGAAUUGUCAAAUCAAUUAAAAAGGUACUAAAAAAAAGAGUUGUUCAACAUAACAAAAAGUUACGUUCUUAACUUUUUUAUAGCAGUGGUCCCUUACCUACAAUUUCUUUUUUCACAAAUGUCCUAUCACUUCCACUUUUUCCUCUUUUUACAUAUGAUAAUUAUGAUUUUUUUUAUUAUUUAAAUUUAUUUACAUUUUACAUGUAGUUCAAAUAAUUUAUUUUUUCUGAUAAAUUUUUACGCUUUACAUAAAAAAAAAUUAAAAAAAGAAGUAUCAAUUACCUCAUUAACUUAAUAAUUUUUUUAUAUUUAUUCUAUAUCAAAAAGUAAUCACUUCUAUCCUUAAUUAUCCAAUUUCUCUUUAAAAAAAUUAUACUUUUGAGUUUUCCUCUACUCCAAAAUAGUGAAAUGUUGAAUUAUCGUCGAUCAAAUAUGUUACUACAUACAAGAAUUAUAUUUUUUUAGGAGUGUUCCAAAAAAAAUAUAUUUUCUUAUAUUAAUUUUGGAGUGUUCCUAAAUUAAAUUAUAAUUUUUUACUCCAUUAAUUAUAAUAUGAAACAUAUUUGUACAUGUGAGUCUCCUCAAUAUCCUAAUCGAAACAUUAAUCGAAAACUAUGAUGAAUCACUAUAAAAUUAAUUGAAAUUGUAAGUCAACUUACUAAUUCAUCUUUAAUUUUAGUUAAAUCAAUAUAGUUAUUUCUAAUUAUAGUUUGGUUUUGAUCAUUUCAAAUAAAAUUGGUCAAUUGAUCAUUCUACUCAGGACGAACACACUUAGUUGAUAGUGUGAUUACCAUGAGAUUAAUUGAAAUUGUAAUUGAACUUAUUAAUUCAUGUUUAAUUCUAGUUAAAUAAAUUUAUUUAUUACUAAUGUAAUGGCUUAAUAUGAAUCAAUAGAUGACUAACAUGUUGCAAAAGAUGAGUAAGCUGUUGAAAAUGACUAAACAGAUAAAGACAUCUGUUGGAAAUAACCAAACAAAUAUAGACAUAUGUUGCAAUAAAUGACUCAUCUAUUGAAAAUUAUCAAACAAAUAUAGACAUCUAUUGCAACAGAUGACUAAGGUGUUGCAACAGAUGACUCAUCUAUUGAAAAUUAUCAAACAUAUAUGAUAUAUGUUGAAAAUUAAUUCAAAAUACUAAAGCUAAGAUGUUUUUAAGAUAACUCAAAUGUUUGUCCCCUUAUUUAAGGUCUUGUAUUUAAUUUUAGUUAAAUCAAUCUAGUUAUUACUAAUAAUUGCUUGAUUUGAAUCAUUUUAAAUGAAAUUUAUCAAUUGAUCAUUCUAUUAAGGACGAAUACAUUAAUUGAAUUUGUAAGUGAAAUUAUCAAUUUAUCUUUAAUUUAGUCAAAAUCAAUUUAUUUAUUACUAAUGACUUAAUUUGAAUCAUUUGAGUUAAAAUUGGUCGAUUGAUCACUCUCCUCGAGACGAAUACACAUAGUUGAUCAUGUAAUUACUAUGAGAUUAAUUGAAAUUGUAAGUGAACUUAUCAAUUCAUCUUUAAUUUUAGUUAAAUCAAUUUAGUUAUUACGAAUAAUGACUUAAUUUGAUUCAUUUCAAAUAAAAUUGGUCAAUUGAUCACUCUAAUCAUGAAAAAUACACUUAGUUGAUAAUUUAAUUACUAUGAGAUUAAUUGAAAUUGUAAGUUUAUGUUUAAUUUUAGUUAAAUCAAUUUAGUUAUUACNNNNNNNNNNNNNNNNNNNNNNNNNNNNNNNNNNNNNNNNNNNNNNNNNNNNNNNNNNNNNNNNNNNNNNNNNNNNNNNNNNNNNNNNNNNNNNNNNNNNNNNNNNNNNNNNNNNNNNNNNNACACUUAAUUGAUCAUGUAAUUACUAUGAAAUUAAUUGAAAUAGUAAUUGAACUUACUAAUUCAUCUUUAGUUUUAGUUAAAUCAAUACAGUUAUUUCUAAUGAUGACUUAGUUUGAAUCAUUUCAAACAAAAUUUGUCAAUUGAUCACUCUACUCAGGACGAAUAUAUUUAGUUGAUCGCGUAAUUACCAUGAGAUUAAUUGAAACUGUAAUUGAACUUAUUAAUUCAUAUUGUUUUUUUAGUAAUCAAUUUAGUUAUUAGUAAUAGUGACUUAAUGUAAAUCAAUAGAUGACUAACAUGUUACAACAGAUGAGUAAUCUGUUGGAAAUGACCAAAUAAAUAAAAAUAUCUUUUGAAAAUGACCAAACAGAUAUAGACAUUGCUGCAACAAAUGACUCACUUAUUGCAAUAACUAAUUCAUCUAUUGAAAAUUAUCAAACAGAUAUAGACAUAUAUUGCAACAGAUGACAAAGUUGUUGCAACAUAUGACUCAUCUGUUGGAAAUUACUAAAUAGACAAAAUAUGUGUUGAAAAACAAUUUAAAAUACUAAAGCUCAAAUGUUUUUUUAGGAGAACUCAAAUGUUUUCCCCCUUGUCUAAGGUCUUGUCUUCAAUUUUAGUUAAAUUUAUUUAAUUAUUAUUAAUAAUUGCUUAAUUUAAAUAAACAAAUGACUAGCCUGUUAUAAGCAUUUAUUGCAACAGAUGACUAACUUGUUGCAACAAAUAGGUGAUCUGUUGGAAAAUAAUUAAAAUACUAGGAAACUCAAACAUUUUUAGGAGAACUCAAAUGUUUGUCCCAUUGUCUUAAAGACUUGUCUUUAAUUUUAGCUAAAUCAAUUUAGUUAUUACUAAUAAUUCCUUAAUUUGUAUCAACAGAUGACUAACAUGUUGCAACAGAUGAUUCAUAUGUAGAAAAUUAUCAAACAGAUAAAAAAUCUGUUAUAAUAGAUGGAUUAUCCAUUAGAAAGAAAUUAAAAUAUUAGGGAACUUAAAUGUUUUUAGGAGAACUCAAACGUUUGUCCCCUCGAUCCUUUUGCAUUUGAUGUAUGAUACACUAUUUUUGUCUUCUUUACCCGUUUCAUAAAAUUUUUCAUGUGUUAACUUAUUUGUUGUGCCCUUAUUGAAAUUUUUAGAAUUUUUUUAGGUCAAAUUUUGUUCGUAUAUCACUUGGACAUUACUUCAUAGGUGAUUUUGUAAGUAUAAUUAUGAUUUUUGUUGAAUUUUUUAUUUAGUAUAUUUGUUACCGCUACAAUGGAUAAACAUGAAUUCAAUAUAUGAGUCAUUUAUUACAACAAGUGAGUAAUCUGUUGCAAUAUAUGAGUAAUCUGUUGCAACAGAUGACCCAUAUGUUGGAUUCAUGUUACAACACUAUAAUACAAAUCAACAGAUGAGUAAUCUGUUGCAACAGAUUAGUCAUAUAUGUUGCAACAGAUUAGUCAUAUGUUGCAACAGAUUAGUAAAUAUGUUGCAACAGAUUAGUCAAUAUGUUGCAACAGAUUAGUCAAUAAGUUACAACAGAUUACUCAUCUGUGCAACAGAUUACUUAUCUAUUGGAUUCACGUUACAUGUUUAAUCUACUGUUGAAAAAACAGCAGUAGCAGAUACACCCAGAUGUGAAAUUCAACUAAAAAUUAUAAUUUUACUUACUAAAAUCACCUAUAAGUAAUUCCCAAGUCAUAUACUAAUAAAAUUUGACCUAAAAAAAUUUGAUCAAGUAGAAAUAGUAGCGGUAACAAUGAUGUUCAACAACAAGAAGAUGAUGACGAUGGACAAGAAGAGAUGAUAAUGAAGAACAAGAUAAUGAUAAUGAAGAAGAAGAUGAUGAAUAAAGCAACAACAACAAUGAACAACAAAAAUCAUGAAGAGAGAGAAAACUUCAAUAAAUGAGAAGAGAGAGAUACGUGCCUUUUUUCCCUCCAUUUCUAGUUAUAUUAGGUUUUACAUUGGAUCAAAGUGUAAAUUAAAAAACUUGUGGGUUAUUUUCAAACUUUUCUAACUUUCUUAAUCCUUAAUAAAGUAAUUGUCACAUCCACUCAAUUAUUAAGACUUGUGUCACCCACACUUCAUUUUAAAACUCUUUUGUCACCUAGAGUCCAAAGCCCCUAAGAGUGUCAUAAUAUAAGAAAUCAUUAUUGAGUUUUUUCUUGAACUUUUAAUUGCUUGACUAAUUUUUCCUUUUAAAAAUAUAGAAAAUAGGAAGAAAAUUAUAAAGUGGAAAACUAAACCUUCACCCAUAAAGCGAGACUUAGGUUGACAAUCAACUAAAUUAUUUAGAUUAUCCUGUUGUUUUACUAAUCAGUAAAUCUUUUAGCUAAUUAUAUAAGAUUAUAUUUAUUUAUGAUAAACUGAGCAUGGUUCUUAAUAUUUUCCAGUUACUUUUUGUAAAUUGAAUAAAAAAAUUUUAUGGAUAAUUUUAUCUUGCUUUUGAAAUUAUUUAUAAAAUAUUUAAAGUAUUGAAAAUUGAAACUAUUGAUGGAGUUAAAAAUGAAGGUAAUUGUAUCAAUUAAGAUCGUAUUAUUUUUAAAUAUUUUUGAUUACUUGAGGAUUAAUAGUCUUAGGAAUUAAACUAAAUAUAAAGAACUAAUAGAUUUUUGAAGUUCAUUUUAAUGAUAUUAGUUUCAUUUUAAUGAUAUUAGUUUUUUUCCCUUAAUUUAAAGUAAAACUAAGUUACCAUAUUAACUAACUUAAAUUAUUGCCACGUGAAAUUAUGAAUAAAUUAAAAAUUAAAAAAUAUCCGAAGAAAUAUAUUUCUAUUUAUAGCUAUAGAAAAUAUGUUCAUAAACUCAUAAAAAUAUUUUUUUUUUUCAAUUUAUGAUCUUUACGAGUUGUAAUUAUUUUAUAUAUUUAAUCAUAUUAUUAUAUAAGAUAUUAAAUUACUUAAAAAUUGGCCCGGGCUUAGCAUGAGCCUUAUAAAACCGGGCUUAGCAUGAGCCUUAUAAAACUAGUAUAUAUAAGAGAGGAUACCAAAAUUUGUUAGUACUCACAAUGACAUUAUGGUAAUUUUUAUUUUUUUAAAAUCCUUUAAAAUUAAGGCAUGUGGAUGGUAAAUAAUUUUUUUCCUCUAAAAUUUUGACAUGUAGUUGAUAAAUUGCUAUUAUAUAUAAGGGAGAAUCUUAAAUUUUGGUAGUCCUAACAAGGGAAUUUUAGGUAUUUCACUUCUUUGGCUAAGUGAAUUAAGAGAAUACACAUGGCAAUUGAUGUUGUUCUUUUGUUAAACAUUUUCAUUUUUUCCCUUAUUAUUUUUGUUAAGGUCAUUCCCACUUGUGUGUUUGUAAUUGGUCUCUUUUUAUCACUUAAUAAAUUAUCUUUUGAUUAAAAUUCUCUUCAUUUUAAAUUGAUAAUCACUUUUGCUCAAAAAAAUUAUUCAAAAAUAACUUUCAUAUAAAAUCAAAGUUAGUAAUAAUUUCCAACUACACCCUUAUAGUAAAUAUUGUUCAAUUCUUUAACAAAUACAUAAUAAAUAGGAUAAUUUAAUUAAUAAUAAAUAGUACAUUGCCUUUAUUAUUUUUUUAGCAGACAUGAAAAAAGAUAAAUCAAUAAUUAAAAUAGGGUGAACAGAAUAUUUUUUUAAGGGGCGCAUAAAUAAUAAACAUGACAAGUAAAUGGACCGAAUGGAACAAUCUAUUGAUUUAAUUUAAUAAUUGUUUAAUAUUAUUAUAAAUCACCAUUAAGUUGGUUUAUGUAAAUCUUCUAAAUUAAGCUUGUAACCAUUUUUUUUUAUAUACUUGAAGUCAUUGAAAUAUUUUGUUGUAUUAGAUUGAAAAAAAUAAAUUUUGCAAAAACUCCUGUCACAUGAAAGAAUAAGUGAAAAUAAAAUUAUAAAUAUCAAAAUAAAUUUAUUUCUAUUUAUAGCUGAGAAAUUACAUACCCACGAACACAUUAAAAUAUUAAUAUUUUCUAUUUUUUAUCAUCAUUGAAUUGCCAUUACUAAAAUAUCAUCUUGUUAUUUUAUAAAAUAUUAAAUUACUUGUGGCCUUUUGAUAUAUUAUAAUUCUCCAAUAAUACUUUCUUCCGCACAAAUAAAAAUUUAUUUAAAAUUAUUCAAUUAUGUGAUUAAGAACUUUAAUAAUUAAAAAACUUAUCAAUAAAAAUACAUUUAAUACGUUGGUCAUUAGAUUAUGUUAAGUAAAAGAUAUAAUAUAAAUUAUAUUUUGUAAAUUUAAAUUAUUAUUUUUAUAUCAUGAGUUUGGGUCCGGGCUUGGCAUAGGCCUCAUGAAACUAGUAUAUAUAUACAUACAUAUAUAUAUAUAUAUAUAUGUAUGUAUGUAUGUAUGUAUAUAUAUGUAUGUAUGUAUGUAUAUAUAUGUAUGUAUGUAUUAUACAACUUAACAAAUAUAAAACUUAAUAUUAGUAUAAAAAUAUUAAAGACAUUGACAUUUUGAUUACUCUAUCUUGAUUGCAAUGUCUUUUUUUGUGUUAUUGAUUAUUUAAAGAAGUUUUUGUACUUCUUUUUGAGUAUUUUUAUAUGUGUAAUGUGUAAUUACGAUACAAUUGAGACAUUUUUUUAACAAGUCAACAUAAUAAUACUCUAUUAUACAAGUAUUUAUUGUUAAAGUUGAACAAAUUUUGAUUACUGAUUACCAUACAACAAAAUAUUGAAAUUGAAUAUUAAAAUAUCAAAUCAUAUCGAAUGUGGUUAUUUUCUUCUCUAUAAUGUCAGUUCAAUGUCAAUGAUGAUGAAGGAAAGAUGAUCUGAUAAGAUAAGUGUUGAUUAGGAUGAUUUUUGAAUGUGCUCUGCCUCUCUUCAAUAAAGGCCAUGAACGAAGAUUUCUUCUUAUUUACAGUACUAGAGUCGAGUCGACUUUGGUUUUCUUUCUUUUCAUCUGGUCCAAAGAAUCGAAUCUCAUUCCCGUUAGGCCGAAGUAUUUGGCCUUUCCUUCUCCGCACCCACUCAGGACUUCGCUGACCUAUCGCAUGGUAAAAGAAGAAAGUACAAAAGAAUAGUAAACGAAGCACAAAUAUGAUAUGAUAAUAAUAUAACAUUUUUAAAAAUUAAAUAUUAAAAUUAUUGUACUAAAAUUUUAAAUACCCUAUCAUAUAUACCAUAUCCGCCUCUACUAUACUUUUGAGUGGCUUUGACUUUUGAGUUGACACACAAUUUUAAUUUUUUUCUUUUUUUCAAAAUUUAUUGUCUAUAGUACCAAAUUACUGGGGGCUUUGAGCUGUAGUUGACAACAAGAUUUUAAAAUGAGGUGUAGGUGACACAAGUCUUAAUAAUUGAGUGGAUGUGACAAUUGCUUUAUUAUGGAUUAAGAAAGUUGGGGAAAUUUCAAAAUAACCCAUAAAUUUUUAAAUUUACACUUGAUCCAAAUGUUAGUUAAUAUAACGAAAAACGAAGGGAAAAGACGCGCUUUUCUCUCUUCUCAUCCGUUAUUGUUUUCUCUCUCUCUUUGUAAUAUUUGUUGUUCAUUGUUACUGCUGCUUUAUUCAUCAUCUUCUAAUUCAUUAUCAUCAUCUUAUACUUCAUUAGCAUCUUCAUAUUCUUCUUAUUGACCAUUGUUGUUGUUGUUGUUCCCUCAACUACUGCUCUUUGACCAAUUUCUUAGGUCAAAUUUUAUUUCGUACAUCACUUUCAACUUUGACAUUUACUUGAUAUGAGACAUUGGUAAGUCAAAUUAUGAUUUUUAGUUGAAUUUGUCAUCUGACUAAUUGCUAGUGUGUUGUUUUACAACAAUAGCUAGCACGCAAACAUGAAUGCAACAUAAGAGUCAUCUGUGGCACCAGAUAAAUAUUCUGUUGCAACAGAAGACUCAUAUGUUGGAUUCAUGUUUAUGGUUCUAUAGUGCCCGUAAUAUGAAUCGAACGGAUGGGUAUUCUGUUACAACAAAUUAGUAAUUUGUUCCAACAAAUAAUUAAUCUGUUGCAUCACAUUAGUAAUCUGUUCCAACAGACAAGUAAUCCGUUGUAAUAGAAUAUUUAUUUGUUACAACAGAUAAUUAUUCUAUUGCAACAGAUGAAUAAUCUGUUUCGAACAACACAAUACAACUCUUAUCACAAACCCAACAGAUAACCCAUAUGUUGAUAUCUUGCUAUUGAUACUGGAUUCAAAUUAUUCUUUAAUUGUAGACAUGUUUGUUGAGAAGAAGAAAUAGACAAAAUGAAAAUUAAAUAAGAAUUAAGAUGUCAAAGCGGAUCAAACAUAAAUUUUUUAUUAAACAAAAUAAAUAAAAAUACAUAGGUAAAAGAAAAAAAUAAUCUAAUUAUUAUUAUUAUCAUCAUCAUCAUCAUCAUCAUCAUUAUCAUAAUAAUGAUAAUAAUAAUAAUAAUAAUAAUAAUUAUUGUUAUUAUUAUUGCCAGUCAGUCAAUCUUCAACCGACAACAACAACACCCUUCUCAGCUUGCAGAUCUCCCGCAGCAUCCUUACUUUGACGGCGGUCAAAUCCCACUGCAGGUCAUGAACCUGCGUCUGCAGUUCCUGUAUGGCAUCUCGUAAAAUAGCGACAUCCCAUACUAGAUCAGCCAUAUCUUGAACACACAUAAAUUGAUAAAAAACGUAAAAACAAAAAUUUGAAUGUAAUACAACGUAUAUUUACACAAAAAAAAAGAAAAAAACUUACCAGAGACAAGGAAAAACUAUCAAGUCCUUGAAGAGAAAGUAGUUAAAGGUGUAAUAUGAAAGACAAGAGCAAGAAAUAAAUAGAUAGUAGAAUGAAUGAGUAAGGAAGAACCUAUUUAUAGAGGAUUGAAUUUGAAUGAGUUAGUCAAAAAGGCGCAACUGUUCAUCUCCAUUUAUUAAUGACAUUUUUAUUACUGUGAAAAGUUAUGGCUUUAUUAAAUUAAGCAAUAUUAUGAUAAGUCAUGACUUUUCAGCUUAUUGUUAUUAAUUAGUUCUUUCCAAGAACCAUUUUUAUUGAGUUGUGACAACAGAUUCUAUAUCUGUUGCAUCAGAUAACUCAUCUGUGACAACAGAUAUAUCAUCUGUUGCAACAAAUAGACAACCUGUUGCAUCAGAUAAUCUAUCUGUUGCAACAUAUAAUCUAUCUUUUUUUUUUAAAUUAUCACCAUAUCAUUAAUCCAAUUUUGCUGACUUUUCUAUUAUAUAAAUUAAUAAAAUAGAUUAAAAAAAAUAUUUUCUCUGAAAAGAAAUGAUGCCUAUUUAAUAUUAACGUCAAUUAUUCAAAUUAAAUAAUCAUUUUUUACGGUUAUAAAUUAUUUUUAUCAUUUAUUUCCAUAUUCUUUUCCGUGAAAAGAAAUGGCUUAAUUAAAUCAAGCUGGUGAGUUUUUUUAUUAUUGUGACAAGUCAUGAAUUUUCAGCUUAUUAUUAUUAAUUAGUUCUUAAAUUUAAAUAACUCUUUUUUCAAUUUAAAAAUCGAAGACCCAUUUUCAAUAACCAUUUCUUUAAUAAAAUAAAAUAAUAACCAUUUUUAUUGAGUUAUAACAACAUAUUGUAUAUCUGUUGCAUCAGAUAACCCGUUUAUUGCAACAGAUAUGCCACCUGUUGCAAAAAAUCGACCAUCUAUUUUAGAAGCUUUUUGGAUUUCUUCAUUAGUCGUAACAGAUGGGUUAUUUGAUGCAUCAACAACAUUAUUGAAUGUGUUUAGACAAAAAGUCACGACUAGUUGUUCACGUUUUUCUUAGCAAUCAUCAUAUAACUUAAUUAAUCCAAUAUUGUUCCUUUUUAUAUAAUAAAUAAAUAAUUUUAAAAAACAGAUUUAAAAACAAAAUGGUGAAAAGUCACGAUGAGUUAUUAAAAUUAAAUAACCAUUCUUUUACUCUUAUAAAUUGUGUUUAUCAUUUAUUUCCUUAUUAUUUAUUUAUGAACCGUUUUUCAUAUUAAAUAAUCAGAAAUUCAUGACUUUUCACCCUCUCAAUAACAACAUUAACACUGUUUUUAUUAAUAACUGUCUGUUGCAACAUAUGAUCCAUCUGUCACAUCAGAUUAACCUCUGUUGCCACAAAUGCUCAAUCCCUACCUCCAAUCGUCGAUAUGUUGAGAAUAAGGAAUAAACAGAAUGAUAAUUAAAUAUUAAAUAAGAAUUAAAAAUUUAAAGUUGACCCAACAUAGAUUUUUGAAUCCCUUAGGUAGAUCUGAUAUAAAAAGGAAAAAUACAUAUGCUAAAAGAAAAAACAUAACCUAAUUAUUAUUACUACUAUUAUUAUUAUUAUUAUCAUUAUUAGUAGUAGUAUUGCUAUUAUUGUCAACCGGAUAAUUUUCAUCCGGCAGUAGCAGGGCCCUCCUCAGCCUUGAUCUGAAGUCGGUCAAAUCCCUUUGGAGUUCAUCAAACUACCUUUGAAGUUCUUGCAAGGACUCGAUAUGAAUCUUCUUGUACGAAUCUGGGUCAACCAUAUCUGUAAGUGUAGUAGAAUGAACAAUUAAGGAGGGAUCUAUUUAUAAAUGAUUGAAUUCGAAGGAGUUAGUCAAAAAGCCAUGACUAUUCAUCCCUUAAUUAAAUAAAAUUGGUGAUUUUUCGAAUAUGUAAAUUAAAAGAACGGAUCUAAAUACAACAUUUUAUCUUUUAUUGUAUUUCGAAAAGAAAAGAAAAUUGCUUUAAAAUAAAUCUAACAGAUGGGUAAUCUGUUGCAAAAUACAUUCUCUCUGCUUGAUAAUUUACAACAUAUUGAAACUGUUGCAACAGAUGCAUAUACCUAUUUGAUAUUUCCAACAGUUGCAACAGAUUGAUCAUCUGUCGUAAUAAAUGUCUAUAAUUGUUUGACAAUUUAAACAGAUGUGGCAUUGGUUGCAACUUGUUAGUCAUCUGUUCAUUCAAUUUAAACCAUAGAUGGUCUAGAAAGAAUAAGGUGCGUGCAGAUGUAUGGACCCACUAUCAUGUGUGAGAGUUAGGUAUUAUUGAUAAGGUCAUCGGGACAACACACACAAAGUAUAAUGUUUUUGUGAAUGCAGUUUUUAACCGAUUAGGCACUGAUCAUUCAAACAAGAUCUUGUAUUGUACAGUUAAGUUUGAUAGGUUCAAAUUGAUAUGGCCGAGGGCCCCAUAAAGAUGGUGCAGAUACCCUGUUACAAAUUACUGACGGUUAUUGCUCAUGUUUAUGCGUGUCAAGUUUUGAGAAGGGAUCAACAUUUGGUGUCAUUGCAUAGAUCCAAUAGUGAUAACUUAACUUUAAGUGUGAAUUGGAAUCUGAGAAGGCCUCGCACUGCAUCAAACCAGAACGAAAAACCAAUAGAAAUUCCCCUGGCCCAAAUUUAUAUGGAAGGAUUGUUCAAAAAAUAAUUAUACUGCAGAAUGAGCCUAAGGAGAAUGCCUAUGAGGGAAAAGGGAGUUGAUGAAAGACUAUAUCAUCUAAGAGUUAAUUGAAGAGGAGACAAAGGGUAUCAAGGAACUUCUAGCGAAUCUGGCCGAUGAAAUUAUCUUAAAACAUGAAAUAUAUGAAUCAAGUGCAAAUAUGAAAGUGUAUCCGGUAAUGUAAAUUCAUCUGUCGUUUCUCUAAAAGAAAAAUAAUGCAUAUGGACACUUUCCUAGGGAGUUGUGACUAGGUAGAGUGGUCGGGAUAAUCACCUAGAUAAAGAAUAGCAGAAGACUAAGAAAGCAGCCUCACGGGCAUCAAGGGUUGAAAUGAUGUACAAUAAGUCUAGAAAACUUACACCAAUUACAGCUGCAAUUAAAAUAAGGAAUCUAAGCGAAGGUGAAGGCGGAAAUUUCUGAAUUUUAAAUUGCAUCCCAUGCCUUCUUGUUUGUGGUUUCGAUUAGGUCCACUACUGUUGACCUGAUCAGAAACACAAACAAGAUUGAAAGACAGAUUUAGUGUCAUUACUUCCUUAGAAAUAUGGAUUAAUUGAUUGUAUUUUCUUACCUUAACAUGCUUUCAACAUAUCUUGGAGAAGAUGAGAUACUUGUUGUAGUAUGUGAAUCCCGAUAAUUUUUAAGCUUGCCUCCCGAGUAUUGUGUUGUGAUUGUCUUUUAAUUUGUGGUGUGUGAUUGUGUAUGAAGCUUUGAGAUCUGAAAAUGAUGAUAGUUUGAUGAUAAAAAGGCUUGAAAUCCAUGGGAAAGACACUCCAAGUCAAGGGAUGAAAGAUUGAAGGACCAACACUUAACCAAAAUUCGGAGAACAAAUUCCAGUAGCUUGAGGCGAUAUGGAGGCGAUGCUUUACCUGCAGCGGGGAUAUAAGCAGGGCUCAGCCUUUCCUGCAGUAGCUCUCUAGCUAGGACGAUGCCCCACCUGGAGUGGGGUUCAACCUGAGGCGGCGCCCCACCCAUUCCUGAGAUCACAAAAGUGUUGAAUUUAAAUCCAACACGGACUAGGCUUACUCCUAUACUAUAAAUACAUGUUGUAUCACGUUUUUACAGAGCUUUGGACAUAUUUUGGAGAUCAAGGGGAUUCUACAACUUCUUCUUUAGGUUUUUAUUAUUUUUAUUUAGUUCAUUCAUGUUUUAAGUCAUUAAUUACAAAUUUGUGAUUGCGAUUAUGACUAUGCGUGGCUAAACGCCCUCUUUUCGGGGUUGAAGCCAAGAACAUUAGUAUUAUUAUUUUGAAUUAAGUUCAUUUGAUUUACUUAUCUUUAUUGGUUGUUUUUCUAUUCUCAUUACAACUAUUUUAAGGACUCACGACGCUUAGAAUACAUUUAUUGUCAACCUUGUGAACUGGAAGAGGGAAUAGGGAGAUAGAAUAUGGGAAUGAACAAAGUAUGGUCUGUAUUCUUUUAUGAAAUAAGGAAUUCAAAUUAGUAUCUAGGACAGGGAUGUACUUAGAUGCCUUACUUGAUUCAUAUGUAGGAUGAUAUUUGUAAAGAACUUAAGUGAACUAUUACAUCCCCUCUCAACGAUAUAGUUGUAAGGUUCAACUUAGGUAAAGGAUUAGAGGUUGGAAAGCCAUAAUCAUGUAAUUAACCCGACGAAUCAACAACCAAGAUAAGAAAGUUAACGAAUGAAGUUCAAUACAUAGAAUUAUUGUUCAAAGUGCUUCAGGGUUUUCUCUUAUUGAUUGUCUCAAGAUCUUUACUUUACGAAUUGUUUAUUUUAUUUGCAAUUACAAUUUCCAAACUUUUUUUGGUUACUCUCACACUAAAUUUAUCUAAACUGUGAAUGGAAAUCAAAUCGUUGCUGAAUCUACUCUCCGCGGGAUUUAUACUUGGCUUUCAUUAGGCCACUUUACUACUUGAUAAGACCACGUACACUUGCCUGUGCACUUGGGUGCUGUCAAGUUUUUGGCAACGUUGUCGGGGACCUGAAUUUUGGCAAUUGUUUAUUUUAGUUUUACUUUUAGGUUUAUUUGGUGUUUUUAUGUCUUAGUUUUUUUUAUUGCAGGAAAUAGGUUGUAGGAUAAUAAGCUAGCAAGGGCUUUUGAUUUGGCUGAACCAAGCGCGAAAUCUGAACAACUUUUUCAUCAACACAGGAGAGACGAAAUCCUUCUCCCCCAAAUUUCAAAAAUCCAAGAAGACCAAGAGAAUACUAUUCCAAUGAAUGAACAACAAGCAGCCCGAAGGAUAGUUAGGGAAGUGGCAGUCCCACUUCCGACGAACUUGACUUCCCCAAUUUAAAGACCGACUGUUGGGGGGAAUUUCAAGUUAAAGCACAACAUGGUGCAACUUCUCAUUAGCAGUGGACAAUUUUGAGGGCUUUCUCAUGAGGAUCCACAAGUCCACUUGUAGAAUUUCAUUGAGCUUACAGACACAUUCAUUCCGACUGGGGUGAAUACAGAUUAUGUGAGGCUGACACUAUUUCCCCAUUCGCUGUUGGGGAAAGUUAAAAGGUGGUUGAAUGCGAAGCCAACCAAUUCAAUCACAUCAUGGGAAGUCUUAGCCAAAAAAUUUAUCAUCAGAUUUUCUCUUCUGGCAAGACUACAAGACUUCGCAGUAAGAUAGUGAGGUUCAAGCAGAGGCUGAAUAAAAAUCUUUAUCAUGCUUGGGAACUUUUUAAGGCUUUUAUUUGGGAUAUUCCACAUCACCAACAGUCCAAUGAGGUAAUUUCUCACACUUUUGUAGAAGCACUUGAUCAUAAUAUGAAAAUUUUUCUAGUUUCAGCCGCAGGUGAUCAAGCAUUGGAAUUAACUUAUGAUGAGCUAUACACAUUACUGAAUUGAAUAGCACAAGGAAAUCCUAAAUGGCAUUCAAAUACUAGAAGUUCCACAAAGAAAGUUACAGGUUUGUUGGAGGUGGACCAAUACAUUACUUUAUCAGCUUAGGUUGCAACAUUACAAAAUUUGAUAAAUACUCAGUUCAACAACCUGAAAGUUAGAACUCCACAACCUAUAGAAGAAGUCAAUGCAGUUUAGUAAACUAGUGGUUGGUGUGAGGUAUGCGGAAAUAAUGGUCAUGUGGCGGCCAUGUACGCUUUAAAUUUGAAAUCUGUGAUGUAUGUAGGAAAUGCACAAAGAUCUAAUUUUGGUAACGCCUACAACAUAAAGUGGUAGACUCAACCUUAGAACGCAUAACAAUAAUAAAUUCCACAGCCACAUGCCCAACUAAUCAGUAAACUAGCAAUAUGGAGGAGAUGUUGAAGCAACUUUUGGCUAAUUAAGCAUAGUUGACUGCAGACAUAAGAAAUCAACAAGCAGCCAUAAGAAGUUUAGAGUUGCAGUUGGGGAAAUUAUCACAAGCAAUGAAUACUAGACCACAAGGUAGUAUGCCAGCAGAUAUAGAAAAUCCAAAGCAGGUUAUGGCAAUCACUUUGAGGAGUAGUAAAGAGCUUCAAGAAGAACCUCCCAAGGCAACAAAGGAGGUAGAUGUUGAUGUGGUGACCCAACAAGUAAAAGAAAAAGUUGUUGCAGAAGAAGUGAAGAAAGUGCCACCACUACCUUUCCUACAGAAACAAAUGAAAGCGAAGGAGGAUGCCAUGUUCAGAAAGUUCUUUGAUACAUUCAGAGAGCUUCACAUUAACUUACCUUUGUUGGAUAUUUUGCAUGUGAUGCCCAAGUAUGCAAGGUACUUGAGAGAUGCGGUUGCUAAUAAGGUAAAAUUGCAGGAUGUGGGAGUGAUAACACUCACUAAAGAGUGUAGCGUUGUGAUGACACAAAAAAUCCCCAAGAAAUUGAGAGAUCCAAAGAAGUUUGCUCUCCCUAUCCUAAUUAGGAGUAAAGCGGUCCAUGCACUAAGUGACUAGGGGCAAGCUAAAUUUGAUGCCCCUAUAGCUGUCUAAAAAAUUGGGCUUGGGAAAGCUUAAAUCAACCACUGGCCAUUGCAGCUGGCAGAUGACCACGGGUCAUUCACAUAUCAAGAAGGAAUAAUUAAAGAUGUCCUCAUAAAGGUUGAUAAAUUCAUUAUACUUGCUGUCUUUAUUAUUUUUUAUUUUGAGGCAGACGAACAAGUACCAAUUAUUUUGGGGUGUCCAUUCUUAGCAGCUGGAGGGGCUUUGAUUGAUGUUAGAGAAGUCAUACUCAAAAUAAAGGUAGAGGAUGAAGAAGUGGUAUUUGAUGUUUACAAAGCACCCAUUGUAAAUUCUCAAUAUAAAGAUUUGUGUGUGAUUAAUGUUAUUGAAGGGAAUAAGUGUGGGGUGGUUAAUCUACCAAAGACCUCUUCAGACUACCUGAUUGAGCAGCUUGAGCUUCUAUCGACUAGGCCUGACAUGAUAAAAAUUAAUAAGCCUGAAAAGGGUAAGGUGGAAAAACCUGUUGCUCUAGAAAGUUCGCACCCAAGAGGGGUGAAGAGAAUAAGAAUAUAGAGACCAAAAAUGAGUAAAAGGGUGAAGGAAUAUGGUUGAGUUGAGUUGGAUUGUACCGCGACACUAAAUCAGGCGCUGCUUGAGAGGCAACCCAAGGUAAUUAGGUAUGUUUUAUUUUCAGUGUUAGUUUUUAUUUCACGUAGAUUCUUGUUUUUGGUUGAGUCAUAGGUUAAUGGAAAGUCUGAGUACCAUAAAAUUGAGCUAAGGAGCAUAGUAAAGACUGAGUUUGGGGUCCCACAGACCUUUUUUAUAUAAGAAAAUGCUACUAGCUAGGCCUAGAGGCCUCAAGGAGUAUUUUUAUCUCUUACCUUUAAAUUCACUUUAGGGAUAAAAUAGAUUUUUAAGUGUGGGGUAGGAAAAUUUCCAAAUUUUGACUCAAUUUUUUUUGUGUAAGAUAUUAUUGUUGGUGCUAUUUUUGAUUACACGAUGCAAGUGGGUUUAUUUGUAAAAGCAUAUUGAUUGUUUGAAUUACUAUUUUUGAGACUCUUAGGCUCAUAUAUGUGACUCUUGUACUUGUUGGCUUAGUUUUGAAUUUAUGUUAUUCUUUGUUGGGAGUCUAUGAUGAUCCUAUUGAGUUGAGUAUGUGCUAUGUGAGUGUGAGAUUUUUGUAUAUUCCUUGUUGCAUGUGAUUUCUAGAACUUGUUCGGUGUGUGUGUGAAGUGAAAUAAAGAAUGUGAGUUUAGGAGAUGAUUUAGGCAUUUCUUUGAUAGCCUUGUUUUAUACCUGCUAUUUGUCCUAUCCUUGUGCUUAAUCCAAGUUAACCCCCAUUGAGCCUUUAGCUUUUUAUUUGGCAACCUCAUAAGUAGCUUAAUCCCUUAUUUGAUAAACCAUAAUUUGAUCCAAAAAUCUCCUAGGCGGUUUAAUGAAAAAUUAAUUAAGUAAGGCAUUUGAGAAAUAAGAGGGAAUAGGUGAAAUUGAUGCCCCAAGGUAAUAUUUAUUGGUGUUUAUUAUUGAUGUGUGAUGGAUGGGUGUGAUAUAAUUUAUGCUAAAAAUAUUGCCAUGAUUGUAAAAAAAAAAAGAAGAAAAAUUAAUUCAUAUGGUAGUAAAUUAUGCGUCCACCAAGUGUUUGUGAAAAUGCUUAAAAGAGAUGGGCUAAAAACCAAAGAUAUGGGGGGAUGAAUAUGGGUAAUUUGGUUGUUGGAGAUUGUUUUUAAAUGUAUAAUGUAGUGUAUUAAAAUGCUUAGAGAGGUUAGUCGCUAUUGUCAAAUAGUUCCUACCUAUCCGUUAGCCUACAUUAUAACCCGAAAAAGUCCUAAUUGAUCCUAAACUUAGCAUUCUAAUAUUAGUAGAGCAUUACACUAAGGUCAAGCCUAUGGUUCAUUGUGUGUAACUUGUGAAUUCCAUGUGAGAGUGAGCAUAACUUAAUCCAUUGUGAUAAAUUGCAUUAUUGUGAGUGAUUAUGGGUAACUCUUUUGUCAUGAGGGUCACACGUUUGAUGAAUGUGGGUUACUUGUAUGAUGUACCAGAUUGAAUGAUAAGCUUGAGUUUUCCAACUAGGUGAGUCCACUCUUGAGGCUAGGAUGUUUUGGAGUAGUGUUCAUGAGCUUUCAAUUGUGUAAAUAACAUGCAUAGUGUAGUAACUUGCAUUCUGUGUAAUCAUUGUAGUACUAGCUUGAGUGUCUUGAAUGUAGUAGAAGUGUAGAGUCUCCUUAUUUGAUGAUGAUUAUAGUUAAGAGUUGUUCGAGGAUGAACAAGGCUUUAAGUGUGGGGUGGUGAUCUUGGGUGUAUUUAUGUAUUCUAGUGUCACUAUUCUAAUCUUUUUAGCCUUGUUUUGAGGAUGAUUCUAUGAUAUGUGGAUUGGUAAUGAGAUAAAUGUGUAUCAAAGUGUUAAAGCAUGUGUUUAUAAUGUUCAAAGUGAAAUCCAAACAAGUUGGUACUUCAAAGAGUCAUUUAGAGUUCAAUCGUGGAAACUAGCGUUACUAUCUUGAGCUAGGUUCUUGUCUAGUUGAUCCCGUAGGAUUCUAUUGUGUUAUAGGAGUGGAAUAACUCGUUGGUAGUGAGCAAAGUUCAAUUUGAUGAAGUGUAUAUCUGGACCAAUAAGUUGAAGAUUAACAUGAACUAACUAGUCUUAGCUCUUGUUUUGAUUCAUCGUUAUGAGUAUUGUGUUGUGAUUGUCUCUUAAUUUGUGGUGUGUGAUUGUCACACUCCCUUUUUAAUCAAAAAGAUUAUUGAUUUUAAGUAUUCAAAAGGAUUUUUAUUAUCUAAGUGACAAAAGAUUAAAAAUUUGUUUAGAAAAGGAUUAUUUACAUUUUUUAUUCAGAGUCGCCACUUGAGGUAGGGCUCAAUUACAGUGAAAGAGUACUGCCUCAAGUUCAACCAGUUGUCUAAGUAUGCCCCUGAUACGAUAGUAGACCCUAGGGCUAGUAUGAGUAAGUUUGUUACUGAAGUAUCUGGUUUGGUAGUCAAGAAGUGUAGGAUUGCCAUACUUAUUGGGGAUAUGGAUCUUUCUACACUGAUUAUUCAUGCACAGCAGAUUAAGGCAGAAAAGUUGAAGGAGAGAGAGAGGGAAAGUAAGAAGGCUAGAAUCAGGCAGUUUGAUUAUGGCUAGACUAGGUUUAGCGGGGGAAAUCGUUCACAGUUUUAAAGUCGCUCAUCUAUGUCAAUGCCUUCUUCAACUAGUGCUCCCAAACUCAGGGCUAGGUAGGAGCAGUGGGGUAGGACUUCUAUGUCCAGAUCUCAGAAUAGUAUGAGUGGUAAACUUAGUUAUCCUCCAUGUUCUAAGUGUGGUAAGUAUCAUCCUGGUGAGUGCUUGUGGGGACAAAAAGGUUAUUAUGGUUGUGGUAAGUUGGGUCAUGGAAUCAAAGAGUGCCCGCACGCUAGACUGGGAAAUAGAGAUGCUCGUCCCCAGAAUCAGGCUACUAGUGCACCAGCUCCUCUAGGCUGCCCAACACCUCCUUCGGGAACAUCAUCCAGUAUCGAUUGCGGACAGUGCAAGAAUCAGUUUUAUGCUUUACCAUCCCAUUAGGAGUAGGAGAGUUUACCAGAUGUUGUUACCAGUAUGGUUUGUGUCUUUCAUCUAUAUGUUUAUGUGUUGUUUGACCCUUGGUCAAAUUUCUCUUAUGUGACCUCACUAGUUGCAGUAAAAUUUUAAAUAGGUCCUGGAAAGAUCCCUAGCCUUUCUUGAUUUCUACCCCAGUAGGUGAGUCAGUUAUUGCCAAACAGAUCUAUAGAAAGUCUUCUAUCACUAUCCUUCAUAAGAUCAUGUUAGCAGACUUAACAGAGUUAGAUAUGGUCAACUUUGAUCUUAUUCUUGGUAUGGAUUGGCUCCAUUUCUAUUAUGCAUUUAUAGAUUGUCUCACUUGAGUGGUGAAUUUUUCGUUUCCAGAUGAGCCAGCUUUUGAGUGGGAAGGUAAUUCAGUGUCUCCCAAGAGUCAUUUCAUAUCCUAUCUUAAAGCUAGAAAGUUGAUCUCAAAGAGGUGUAUCUAUCCUCUAGUUUGAGUGAAAGAUACGAGGUCUGAGGCUCCAACAGUUCAAUUAGUCCGAUCAGUCAAUGAGUUUACUAAAGUUUUUUCCAAAGAUUUGCCAGGGGUACCUUCCGAUAAAGAAAUAGAAUUCGGUAUUGACCUUCUUCCAGAUACUCAGCCUAUCUCUAUUACUCUAUAUCAUAUGGAUCUAGCUGAGCUUAAUGAAUUAAAAGAGUAUCUUAAAGGCCUCUUAGAUAAAGGUUUCAUAAGGCCCAGUGUCUCUCCAUGGUGUGCUCCCAUCCUAUUCGUUCGAAAGAAAGAUAGUUCUUUACGAAUGUGUAUUGACUAUCAUCAACUGAAUAAAGUCACGGUUAAAAAACAAGUAUCCUCUUCCUAGAAUUAAUGAUUUAUUUGAUCAACUCUAAGGCGUAAGUUAUUUCUCCAAGAUAGACCUUAGAUUCGGCUAUCAUCAGCUUAGAGUAAGGGAGUGUGAUAUCUCGAAGACAACUUUCAGAACCCGCUAUGGUUAUUUUGAGUUUCUAGUCAUGUCUUUCGGGCUAACAAAUGCCCCAGCAGCCUUCAUGGACUUAAUGAACAGAGUGUUCAAACAAUAUUUGGACAUGUUUGUCAUAGUCUUUAUAGAGGAUAUCCUUGUCUAUUCCCGUAGUGAGGAUGAUCGUGCAGACCAUCUUAGAAUUAUGUUGAAAACUCUUAGAGAUCACCCGUUGUUCACCGAAUUCAACAAAUGUUAAUUUUGGGUAAGGUCUGUAGCUUUCCUCAGUCAUAUUUUUUCCAGUGAGGGCAUUAGAGUUCCAAAAGAUAGAAGUAGUAAGAAAUUGGUCUAGACCUAUCUCUCCACCAGACAUUAGAAGUUUCUUGGGUUUAGCUGGCUAUUACAGGCAUUUCGUUGAGGGUUUUUUGUCUAUUGGAUCCCCUAUACCUAGAUUGACACAUAGGAAAGUUAAGUUUCAGUGGUCAGAUUCAUGUGAGAAAAGUUUUCAGGAGUUGAAGUCUUGACUUACUUCAGCUUCAGUUUUAGCAAUACCAGACGGUAUAGAUGGGUUCAUUAUGUAUUAUGAUGCCUCUAGAGUCAGUCUGGGUUGUGUUUUAAUGCAGAGAGGCAAAGUUAUAGCCUAUGCCUCCAGACAGCUUAAGCCUCACAAAAAGAAUUACCCUACCCAUGACCUUAAGUUAGCUGUUGUUGUUUUUUAUUUGAAUAUUUAGAGGCACAAUCUUUAUGGGAUACAUGUUGAAGUGUUUACGAAUCAUAAAAGCUUACAGUAUAUGUUUAAUCAGAGGGAGUUAAAUCUUCAUCAGAGAAGGUGGUUAGAAUUGUUGAAGGCUUAUUAUAUGAGUGUGUUGUAUCAUCCGGGAAAGGCCAAUGUAGUGGCAGACGCCUUUAGUAGAUUGUGUAUGGGCAGUGUUGCUCAUUUGGAGAAAGAUAAGAAAUAACUAGUUUGUGAAGUUCACCGGUUGGCUAGAUUGGGUGUGAGGUUGGUUGACUCAGCUAAGGGGAAUGUUUGGGUUCAGAAUAGUUCAAAAUCUUCUUUAGUUUCUGAAGUAAAAGAGAAGUAGGGAAGGGAUCCUAGUUUGGUCAAACUGAAGGGGGUAGUUAAACACCAAAAGGUAGAGGUUUUCUCCCAAGGGGGAGAUGUUAUGUUGAGAUACCAAAGUAGAUUGUGUGUUCUAUGUGUUGAUGAUUUACGGCAACGAAUUAUGGCAAAAAUGCAUGGUGCCUGCUAUUCCAUUCAUUUGGGAGCCACCAAGAUGUACGACGAUCUGCGAAAAAUUAACUGGUGGAGUGAUAUGAUGAGAGAUAUCGUAGAAUUUAUGGUCAAGUGUACGACUUGUCAAUAGGUUAAGGUAGAACACCAAAGACCUGGUGGCACUUUGCAAGAGUUCAGUAUACCCACUUGGAAGUAGAAAGAGGUGAAUAUGGACUUUGUGACUGGAUUACCCCAUUCGCGUGGGCAAUAUGAUUCGAUUUGGUUUAUAGUAGACAAAUUGACCAAAUUAGCUCAAUUCUUGCCCGUUCAUAUGCCCCACACACCUAAAGAUUACACUAAGCUAUAUAUCAGAGAGUGGGUCAGAUUAUACGGGAUUUGUUUGUCCGUUAUCUCAGAUAGAGGUACUCAGUUUACCUCUUAAUUUUGGAAAGCCUUUCAGAAGGGUCUCGGUACCCAAGUUCAUCUUAGUUUAGCUUUUCACCCUCAGACAUAUGGUCAAUUAGAGAGGAUAUGUGCCCUUGAUUUCAAAGGCAGUUGGUAUGACCACUUGUCGUUGAUUGAGUUUGCCUAUAACAACAGUUACCAUUCUAGCAUUCAGAUGGCCCUAUUUGAAGCUUUUUAUGAAAACAGAUAUAGGUCACCAGUCGGUUAGUUUGAAGUGGGUGAGGCCACUCUGAUUGGGCCAGAUAUGGUAUUUGAAUCCAUGGAGAAAGUUCAGCUGAUUUGAGAUAGAUUGAAAGCAACCCAGAGUCGUCAGAAAUUUAUGCAGAUUUGAGAAGGAGAGAUCUUGAGUUUGAGGUUGAUGAUCUUGUUUAUUUGAAAUUUUCAUCUAUGAAGAGGGUGAAAAGAUUUGACAAAACGAGGAAGCUUAGUCCCCAUUAUGUAGGUCCCUACAAAAUUUUGAGUCGUGAGGGGAGGUAGCGUAUGAGCUUGAGCUGCCUGCAGAUUUGUCAAUAAUUCACCAAAUCUUCCAUGUAUCCUUAUUGAAGAAGUGCAUGGAUGGUUCAGCUGUUAUAGUCCCUCUAGAAAGUAUAGAUAUUCAAAAUAGUUUCUCAUAUGAAGAAGUUCCAGUAGAGAUUCUUGAUCACCAAAUCUGUAGAUUAAGGAACAAAGAAGUUCCCUUGGUCAAAGUUUUGUGAUGAAAUCAUUCUGUUGAGGGUGCCACUUGGGAAGCAGAAGCAGACAUGAGAACCAAGUACCCUCACCUUUUCUCCACAAACUCAGAGUCAGCCGAAGGUAAUAGUAUUCCUUAAUUCAGUUCAUUUCCAGUCUUAUUUUCAGCCAUAUGGUUAUUUUAUAUCAAUUCAUGCACACACAGAUUAGUUCAGUAGCUCAUCAUGUUUUAGAUUUAGACAUGCAGUUUUGGUUUUAGUUGUGCAUACCGGUAUAUAGUACAGUCUCAGUUCUCCAGUAUCUUCAGUUUAACUAGUCUCACUCGAGGACGAAUGUUCUCAAGAGGGAGAUAAUGUAAUACCCCGUACUCUUUCUAGUCCAAUUCAAAUCAAAAGAGGCACGUUAGAGACUUAAGACUUGAAAUUUUAACUAAGUGUUGGAGACAGUCUCAUUUUUGGCCUCUAAACUUGGAUGAUUUUAUCCUCAACCUUUCUAACCUUGGAACGUUAAUUUCUAAAUUAUUUCAUGAUCACAGUAGUCCAUAGUACCUUCGGGGUGAGUUUUAGAAUCUUCAGAGAAGGAUUGGGCCAUGUUUGGUUGGCAAAAAUAGAACCUCAUUGCGAUGUCGAGGCACCGCAUCAGUAAUCGUGUCAAUAGGGUUGAAACAACGCAUCACUAAUCGCGUCAGCAUGAGCGACGCGAUGCUGAUCGCGUCGAUGUCCAUUUUUUGGGCGUUAAAUGACAGGUUAUGGGGGCAUUUUGGUCAUUUACCCUCACUCAAAUCCGUCCAAAACACACAAUUUUAGCCCUAAAUAGCAAAUAUACCUCAUUAUUCAUCUUUUUCAUCUCUAAUUACAAAACCCUAGGUCUAAGAAUCAAGAACAAAUUUCAUAACUUCUACGCCAAGAAAUCUUAUAAUCCAAAGUUCCGGGUUCAAGAACUUCAAGUAGAAGCUUUAAGAACACUAUUAGAGAGUCAAGAAUCAAACUUUUACAUUCAAAUUCAUCAACAAGGUAUGUGGGGUUUUUCAACAAGGAUAAUCCUUUCAUCCUUGUGCCCAAAAUUAGAGUUAAAGUUGAUUUUUAUAUAAAAUUACAUGAAUUUCAGUUUGGAAUUUAUACCCAUUUAUCACCAAUUGAAGAUUAUGAGAUUUCAAAUAGCCUCUCUACUUUCUUGGAGGUAGCGGUACCCUCCUAGACCUCACUUUGUGGGAAUACACUGGGACUGUUGUUGUUGCUGAAGAUUAUGAGAUUUCAAGUAUUGUUGAUGUUGAAUUGCAUGUUUUCUUUAGUAUUUUCAUGUGUAUUACAGAAAUUUCCAGAUUUUAAAUUGAAUUACCAAUGUUUACAUAAACAAGCAUGAAUAUUAUAAUGUUUUGACAUGAAUUUGAAGUAUAGGUUACUAGGCCCUAGUUUGUAUGUUGAUAUUUCAAGAAUGACUAUGUUUUAAGCAUUCCAUGACUAGUUAUUUUUAGAUUUUAAUAAAGAUUUGAUCUUUUGAUCUUAUCUUUGAGAUGGAAUCCACUUUACAUCAGUUACAGAAUAGAUAAACAGAUAUAUAAUUUGUUUUCAUUAUAAACCUUUAUACUAGAUUUAAAGUGAAUUUAGCACUGAGUUGGGUAUGUUUACAUGCCCCAGAACUACGAUCCAACGUAGGUACAGAUUAUCAGAUUAUUCUCAUUUCUAUAUGGAUGACAAAUACAGAUGUGAUUACUUAGAUUAGGCUAUACUCCUUAGCAAGAGUAUGACACCUCUCCCUAACGUGAGAUUUUUCCCUUGGAGGAACAAGACAUUGGAAUCCAUGAUAGCUCACAUGGUUUAUGUCGGUUAAGAGAAUCUCCCUACUAGUAAAGAACAAUAGGAAAACUUUUAAAAGAAUUUCCCUAUCAGUAAAGUGUAAGACCCCGUAAAGUUCCCUCAUAGUCUAAGCCUUUAGAACAUGUCAAGUGAAGCCUUAUUCCGUGUCUAAAAGAUUUAGGAAUGACUUCCAAAGUGAUUAGUGUUAAAACCAUAUAGAGUUUUCAUAAAAAUGACUUUUUAUCGUGUGGGAAAUUGAAUUAUCUUUCCAACGAUACCCAUUUCAUCAAAAUCCGAAAUCAAAAUAAAAAGAUAUGGACGUUUUACAGAAAGCAGUCUGAACUGUCCAGGUGCGACGGAGAGGUUCGACGGACCGUCGAGCUAGCGAUGGAUCGUUGCCCAGACCGUCGCAGAUGAGGUAGUGAGUCUACUCUCUGGCUAAGUGUGAUGGUCAGACCGAUGGACCGUCGAGCUAGCAACGGACCAUCGCUGAAGCUAUCGCAGACGAGGCAAUGAACCCCUGUUCUGGUCCAGGUGCGACGGUCAGUCCGACGGACUGUCGACCCAGCAACGAACCGUUGCACCAACCAUCGCAGAUCCCAUUCAGUAUUUUUAAGUUAUUUUUAAAAGGAUAUUUUGGUCUUUAGCCACCCUUUUCACACUUAGAUAUAUUUAGAACAAAGCAAAAAACUUCAUAUCCAUAAAAAACAUCAAGACCUAGGGUUUUCUACCUCAAGAGAAAACUCAAUUCCUUCUCCAAGAACUUCAAGAUUCCACCAUAAUUUCUGCAAAUUGAGUUAAGAUUCAAAGUUCCCUAGUCAAAAGCUUCAAGAACCCUCACAAAAGAGUUUGAAAAAGAGCCUCAAGCAAGAUUAUUCAUCUUAAGUCAAAAUCUAAGGUAUGUGAGGUUUAAACAAGGGUAACCCUUUCACCCUUGUGCUCAAAAGCUUACUUUAAAUUAUAAAUUUCUGCAAAUUUAUGAGAUUUUCUGUGAAAGUCAAGUUAGGGUUUAUACCCAUUUCCAUUAAUUGUAAGAUUUUGAUAUUUACCAUGAAUUGAGAGUUGAAUCAUAUGAUUUUAAUUGUAUUUCCAUGCCUAUUGGUGAAAAUUAUAGAUUUCAAGAUACCUUAUGAGAAAUUGCAUUCCUGAGCAUGGAUUUUGAGAUGUUGACUUGAGAUUUACUAUUUGGGUCAAUAGACCCCCCUCCCCCCCCUUUUUUUUAAGAUUGUUGUUCAUGAUUGUUUGGGUCAUAAGUACCCCAUAGCUAAGCUAUUUUCAGAUUUUAAAUAAAGAUUUGACCCUUUUGGGUCUAAAGCUAAGAUAGGAGUCUACACUAGUUAUGCUUUAAAGACAAAUGAAGUAUAUUUGGUCUUUAUUAUGGACCCUUGAAUUAUUUUAAGGUGGAUUUCCUAAAAGUUCUGAGCUUAAGUAUGGGAGCAGUAUUUAGCAUCGAGUUGGGUAUGAUUCCAUGGUCUCAUUCCCCAGAACUACGUGGCCCCAUAGAUUUCUGAUUUACCCCAAGUGGGUUAAGAUAAGUGAUCACUAAAGUUAAGGUUCUACUCCGAUGGCAAGGAUAGAACAACUCUCCACAAUGUGGGCAAGACAUUGGACUCUAUGUGGCUCACAUGGUUUAUGCCGGUUAAGAGAAACUCCCAAAGUAGUCCCCUACUCUAAUUACGAUAAAAUUUUCCUAAGUCCCAAAGUUCUAUAAGCUCUAAGUUUUAAAGAAGACAUUUAUUCUCCAUGAGGUCAAAGUUCAAGUUUCGAGAACUAAUGUUUUAAGAUUUCUCCUACUUACCUAUUUUAGAAUAAGAUGGAGAAUAUGGGUUUUAGAACUAAUAUAAUGACUUACGAGAUUUAUGAUUUAUGCCUUAUUAUACAUGAUUUAUGAUAUUUAGUUUUCAGUUUUAUUCAAGAUAUGCGAGUCAUUUAUAGCUGCAUGCAUGAUUUCUAUUAAGAUUGAUACUAUUGUCUUAAUUAAUGCAUACACCCCCAUAUACUUAGUACAUCCUCAAAGUGCUGAUCCACAUAGACGUCUGUGUGCUAUAUUAUCUCAUAAUGUAGGUUCAGGUGCUCAGUCCCAGCAGUGAUAGUGAUCUCCGAGCAUCUUAUCUACAUCCUUAUCCUUGGUGAGUCCUCAUGGUUUGAGGACCUAUAUUUGUAGCUUUCUGUUAUCAUAAUGUUUUGAGUUUUACUUUCAGAUCAUUGCGAGUCAGUUGAGGGUCUGUCCCAAUGUCUCUCUAAUUUGAGUAGUAGAGGCUUUGUCAGACUAGACUGUCAGUUGAAGUUGUGUUCCAGAUUAUUAGUAUUUUUGCUAUUCAGACAUUAUUUCCAGUUAUUUCGGAUUAUAGUUGACCCAAAAGUAUCACUGUUUAGCUUAUUUAUCCUAAAGCAAGUAUUAGAAGUGGUAAAAAGCUCAAAGGGUUAGCUUAGGGCUACUUGUAGCCUUAAGCACCGUGUGACGUCUCGGGAUGGGAUUUCAGGGCGUUACAUAAAGACUUUCAGAAUAGUUUUAAAAGUAUUUCCUACAGUUUACAAAAAAGAGUAAAGAAUGAUAGAAAAGCAUUUAGAAACUAAGUGUAAAGGCUCACAACUUUCAUUCAGACAUUUAGAAACUAAGUGUAAAGGCUCACAACUUUCAUUCAGAUAUUGCUUUAUAUAAGGCAUCAGUUAUAGAUACCAGCUUUCAGAUUUCAGCUAUAAAAGGGAGUCAUUUCUACACUUAGAUAGCUAAAUCUGAAGAUAUAAAUACAACUUUUAGAACCUAAAUGUUAUGAUUCACUAGAUCUAUGCAACUUUUUUUAAUAUUCAUGAUUAUGAUUUUUCGUUUUCAGAUAUUCCAACUUAUGUGAGUCAUCUACAUUUAGCAUGCAUACUUUUAUGGAUUUGAUAACAUUGAGAUAUUAUUUCUACUUAUGCAUUCACCCCCACAUGCUCAGUACAUAUCAAAAGUACUGAUCCACAUAUAUGACUAUGUGCUACAUUGCCUCAUAAUGUAGGUUCAGGUGCUCAAUUCUAGCAGCGUGAUUGAACGUGAGCAUCUCUAUUUGCAUCCUGAUAGUGGCGAAUCCUCAUAGUUCGGGGACCCAGUUGUUCAGAUUUCCAGCCUUCCAGACUAGUUUAUUCAGUUACGUCAGACAGUUCGAGUCAGCUGGGGGCCUGUCCCAGCAACUCUCUAGUAGUAGUAUUAGAGGCUUGUCCGACUAUUAGAUAGAUUGUUGUUUUUUUCAGUGUUUGUAUUUCAGAUUUCUCUUAGUUAAGUAUAUUCAGACAUUUCAUGCAGUUAAACUUAGUUCAGUUCAGACAGUAUUUCAGUAUUUUAGUGUUCCGCCUGCUUACAUUACCUUUGUUUGAGUCAUCAGUAUAAGUAGCAGGAUUACAGGGUUAGCUCGGGACUACUUGUAGUUUGGAGCACCGUAUAGCAUCCCGGGGCUCGCUUUCGGGGCGUUACACUACAACUAUUAAAUCAUAUCUAUAGUCUUCAUGUUGAAAAUAUUAUUACGUGAAAUUUAUUUUUAUGCAGAAUCUUUCUUUCUUGAUUCUAAUUAUAUAUUAGAUGUCGAGGGCUCGUGUUAGCACGGGUUCAAUAUACAUAUUUUUUAAAUUUUAAUUUAUGUGACACAAAUAGUAUUUAGAUAAUCAGACACAUUUUUAAUAUGUUUCUCGAUAUUUUAAAGUUGUUAACUAUUGUAAUUUAUAAUACUUUUCAUGUAACUUUUAAAUAAUAUAUGUUACUUCCCUUGCUCAAAUUUUUGUGGCAUUGAUAGUAAAUUAUAUUUUAAAAAUAAUUUAAAUUUUUAAUUAUUGAGAUUUAUAAUACCUUUUUCGUAUUCUAAUUUAAGUGGCAUUGAUAUAAUUUUGAGAGUUCAAUCAACUAUUUUAUAUCUUAAUUUUUUUUUAAGUUGUUAAUUAUUGUGAUUUAUACUAUUUUUUUACGUAUUUUUUAAAAAAAAUAUAUAACUCAUUAAUUUUUUAGAUAUUUUACGUUGUUCACCAUUUUAAUUUAAUAGUAAGUGGGCUUUGGCAACAUUAUGAGCAAAUAUACAUAAAUAUACACAUUAAGUUUCUAUUAUUACAUAAAAUCUCAACCAUAAAAAUUAAUUGCAAUCCUUAUAGGAAAUAAUUAGGGCUUGUUUAAUUCGUACUCCAAACCCUUAUAGGAAAUAAUUUGGGCUUAUUUAUAUUCCAAACCCUCUAGGAUACUUGAAACCUAUCUAUAUAAUAAUGUCCUCAUAAUUUUAAAAAACAAACAAAAUUCAUGGGAUUGAAACGUAUUCCCAGAUCCCAUACACAAAAAUUCGUGGCAGUUCCAUGGACAGCAACAAGAAAAUUUUCACCAGAACUAAACGUAAAUCUAUUCGAAAGACUUACUCAAUGGAAGUGUUAUCAAUAUGACUAGCUGAAUUCUGAAGGAGUUCCUUGAAAUCAUCCACAACUAUGGUUGAGCAAUCCAUGAAAAGAGUUGCAACAAUUAUACAUUCACAUUAACGAAAGCAACUACAUAAUGCACUGGAGAAUCAAAUAAAGGAGUUAUAUUUGCAAACGAGAUAUCAACCAUCUCGAGUAAGCAUAACUAGAAUUUGAUUAAAUACCAUAACUUUCAUACAUCAUCCAUAGGAAAAAAACAUUCGAUCCAAUUUAACUUUAAACUUAAAAUUCUAAUACAUAACCAAACUGAAAAGAGAAAAACAACCCAAUAUAAAAUAGAUCACCAAACUGAAACGAGACAUCAAAAUGAUGGUGUGACCCAGGUCGGCGGGCAAAUAUGACUUAGUGACUCUCCGGGAUAACAGGAUUCAACUUUUCCAUCUUCAAGACUAUAAGCCCCCAUAUUUCUUCCACCACCAUCACCUUUCCUAAAGCUGUUGUCAUCAUCAUCGGUAAAAUAUAUAUGAUUAGACUUGACUCCAGUAAACUUAGAGGAAUCAAUGGAAAUUGCUAUAUUAAAGUCCACAAAGACCUCAUAAUCUCCCAACGUGUUAACCUCUUUCAAUUCAGCCUUGUUUAUAUCUAUUUCAAAUACUUCAAACUUAUUCCAAGUAACUAGGAAAAUAAUUAAGAAUAUCCCUGAUAACUCGAGGAGAUAUCCAUGCUGUUGACACUUCCACCAUUUGUCAAAGCAAACUAGCUUGGUUGCUUCAACUUCAAUUGGUUGAGGAAUGCUAGGCCCUGGAACGCUAAAAGACCAAAUUUCUCCAUAAUAAGUAACAUAAUAAAAUUGUCCUUUAUGGUAAAUCAUAGAAGAGACACCACCUCAGUGACGACUGUCAACAUAAGUCCAAUUUGAGUUUCCAGAUCGCCAACAAGCCAAGAAACUGUAAGUUGCCUAGUAGGAAACCGCCAGAACAUAAUCUGACGUAACAGAAGGACUAGCAGAUAAGACAGCUCUGCUCAUGCACUAAUAACGCAUUCUAAGUUCAGGAUCAAGAAAUUCCUCUUCUGCUAAAUCCCAUAACUCUUUUUCUAGAGGAAGUUUGAUAUUAACGCGAGAGAAAGGAUGCAACAAAGUCAUUUCUGUAGUAUCAAAUUCUACGGUGCAGAUCCAUCCCUCUGUUGGAUGACAUUGGCGCUCUUUAACCUCAGGAAGAUAUACGCGUGAAGUUUUCUUCUUAGAAAGAGAGUAUCAGCAAGCAUUAACAAGGGAAGUUGAGGAGAGAGAGAAUCGAAAUCACUCUUAAUUGCUGAUUCACGCCAUGAGGUGCAAACAGCCCCAAAAGCAACAAAAUCUUCUAUCGCCUUAACACGUUUUACAAUUAGAUCCCUAGGCAAUUCUGCCCAAUUUGCCACUGUCAUGUCUGCCUGCACAGAUUUCUAAGAAUAAAAGGGGUCGAUUUUAUGGCUUUUAGGGCGGGAAGAAAAGCAAGCAGCUUAGUUUGUUUGUUUUUUUCCUUUUUUUUAAUUCUGAGGACAUUAUUAUAUAUAGAUAGGUUUCAAGUAUUCUAAAAGGGUUUGGAAUAUAAACAAACCCAAAUUGUUUCCUGCAAGGAAUUGGAGCAGGUAAAAAUUAAACAAGUCCAAAUUAUUUCCGAUUACCAUGGGAGAAUUGGGAGUACAACUUAAACAAGCUCAGCUUGAAUAAGAGUGCAAGGAAGAAGCUACUUAAUGUUGCCACGGCCCACUUACUAUUAUAACUUUGUACAUUACAAUCAAAGGCAGUAAAUUUCCUAAAUAGUCACUCAAUUUUUGAAAAAUUUCUUUAAAUAUUAUUUAUGUUUCAUUUAGGAUUAUAAUCAGGAUUGGACAUAAAAUAUUAAAAAUUAAAUUACCGAAUUAAAUAAAAAAUUAGAUAAUUGAUAUUCGAUAUUUGGUAUGGUAUUGAAAGUAUAAUUUUAAAAUUUUUGUAUUGGGGAUUGGAUUUGGUACAAAAUAUUAAUAUCGUAUUGUAUUCGGUAUUACCAAAUAUCGAAUUAAUUAUAUAUAUAUGAUACAGGAAAUACAACGAAAACACGAAACAACUCCAAAACAGUCCACUAAUCUUAAGGAUUUGAGGACUAAGAUGGAGACCACUUCGGAUUCACUACAACAACAAUAAUACGAGAUAACAACGGUGCAUUUGACACGAAACACAGCAGCAACACAAUGAUAACAAGAUGAACACAAUGAGAACAAAUUUCGAAUUCAAGAGGGACACAAAACAGUCCACUAUGAAUCUACAAAGUGCAAUAAGAUAAAGAUAGAUAGACCAAAUGAGGGAAUAAUAUUAACAACCCAAGAAUUGUUACACCCUUGGACCUUUAAUACUACACGCAACACUAACCUAUCUCUUACGUAGGCACAAGAGAGAUCUCGAUCUCCCAAGGACCAACGUUUCCAGGCUUGAAUCCAACACGAGUAAUUCCACACUCAAGUUGAUUUCCCUAGUUACAAUUUCAGAUUUGUACCUCAAGGAGAGAGGACUUGUCUUUCAAUGUUAGACAACAUUCAUCAUCAUCAAAAUCUAAUGAAUGAAUCCCUAGAAGGUUGUAUUUAUAGUGUAUUACAAGAAUAGUGAGGAAUGUCCAAAAUGACCCCUUAGUCAAAGUCUUCAAGUGGGCUCCCUUGGAGUGCAUUGUAUGGACUGAUUUUGGAGCCUAGUUAGGCCUUCCUUUGCACUUCACGUGUACACUUCAAGUCUCGGGUUCAUUCACUCUCGCACUCACCCACCUCCAAGUGCCCAUAUCAUUCUUCCCUUCUUAAAAAGGAUUCGACCUCGAAUCCGUACCUUGCAAAAUCAAGAGAAGACAAACAAGCACACAUCCUCAUGACAUGAGGGGUUAGUUUUAGCAAAAAUAACACAUCACAUGCCAUGCCAAGGUGGGCAAAACUUAGAGUAUACCCACGGGUCCUUUGUGUUGAACAUGAAAACCUUAGUAUAAAUUACACAAAGGAAGAGGUCAUCAUCAACAAAAAGAGACAAGGAAAAACCUUGCAUUCCUUUAUUAACACCCACAAUCAAACAUUGCUUGUCGUCUUGACCAAGCAUCAAGUAGGAAGUGUAGAAAUUCCCACAUUCCCGGAGGGUGCCGAGGUCAAAUGGGAGAAGUAGCCAAGGGUUUAAGUCGAGGUUAACCUUUCUUUCCCCUAGAAUGUCACUCCCAAAACCACAUAUGACAUUUGCCUUUAAGAGAAGACUAACAUUCAAGAAUAGAGAGACACGUCCUAGAAGUCCUACCUCAAAAAGACAUAUGCCAUCAUUUAUAACAUUUCCAUACACAUGAUCUCUAUGAACAAAACUACUAGCAAGGCUUUUACCACACAAAAUAUUCAAAGAGUCACGUGCACCAUCAAGAUCAACUCUAUAAACACCAUCACUAGGGUCAACUAGUGUGUGAAUACUCUCGUCACUUGGUAAUGGAACCUUAGCCAAGUUAUAAGUGCUAGGACUAAAUGUACAUAAAUGAUUCUCACAAGGGGAAUCAAUUUCGUAAUCUAAAGGAUCAACUAGUGAUUGCAUACCUACAACAAGAGUUUGGUCCUCAUGUAACCUAACAAUACCGAGAGUAUCACAAAAAGGAGACUCGAGUAUCUCUACCUUAGGCAAAGCCGCAACUAAACCUACUUGGCUCCUACUAGCCACAACAUAACAUUUUAAGUUCAUAGGACUGUAGGGAAUAGUAUUUUUACCUCAUAGAUCACAUGAGCUACGACCUUCCUCUUGACGUGUGUCUGGACAGUCCACUUGAUCCCUUUGACCUAUCAUACGAUCCAACAUUUUAUUUACUACUUGAUCGUCUCACACUUGGUUUCACAAGUGUUGAAAGCCAGCUUGUACUUCGCGAGUGAUUGAGGGUCGAGUCUACUCUUGCCCGAAAUAGAUUUUCGUUUGAGUUGACGCAAGCAAAAUUUGUUACGGACUUGAACCAACAAGAUACAACGAUUUCACAAAAGAGAAAAGCACACAACAAAUGCGUAAAACGAAUGAACGGACACAAAAACUAACUAACAAUCUAGUAGAUAAGUACUAGUUUGCCAAUUAGUAUUGGAACCAACGAAAUUAAAACUAAGAAACAACAAACGAAAACUAAGAAAUCUAAAAUUUGAGCUUAAAUAUGUUGUAUGAACAGUAAAACAUGAUGAUCUGGCAACCACGUAUUGGUCUCGGUUGCACACAACUUUUGUUGUCCAAUUUCAAGUUUUGGUUAAUUUUUCAAUUUGAACUUUGGUGGAACUUGUUCAAUGGAGGGAAACACAAAGUAGUAUUUAGAGCUUUUUUUUCAAUUAAAAUUUCAAGACUCAAAGUCUUGGACUAUACUUGUACUCCUCCUUAAAAUAUGGAUCCUUGUUUUAUGGGAAAGUAGUUGAGAUGUGAUUGACUUGUUGGUGAGUGAUGGUAAGUCUUUCAAGACUAGCAAAUUUCUCACACUUUUUCCUUCACCUUUUUGGAUCUAACUUUCACUUUAUUUUAACAAGGUAUGAAGGUUUGGAAGAACAUCAAGAACACUUCAACAAUCACCAAGAAAAUCAACAACAAUAUCCCAAGAACAACAACAAGGUCAACUACAAACUUCCAACAAAUGGCCAAGUCCUUUAGUGUGGGGUUUUGGUCUUAACAAGGGGUGAAGAUUGUGAUGAACAAUAAGAAUACAACAACUUUUCAAGAAUAAUAACAAUACCAACAACGUCCAUCCUAAGUCCAUAAGAAAGGUCACCACACGGUCAAGAACAACAACAUCAAUACACGGUCAUUAACUUGUCACAACAACAAUCUAAAUAAUUCAAGCUCAACUCAAGAUAUAGACUCAAUGUGUUAGUGAUGAAAAAAAACUAAAACUUAGAGAAAACAAACACAAGUAAAAAUCUCGGCCAAGACACAACAAAAACACAAUUUUCGGCCAAGAACACAAAAUGGACAGAUUACUCUCUUUUCUAGAAUUUUCAGUUUUCAACUUUUUUCUUUUAUAGUUUUCAAGUCUCAAGCCCAAGAUUGAUCUUGUUAGAACAAAAUCAACGAUGGCUUUGAUACCAAAUGAUACGGGAAAAACAACGGAAAAACAAAACAACUCCAAAACAGUCCACUAAUCUUAAGGAUUUAAGGACUAAGAUGGAGACCACUCUCGGAUUCACUACAACAACAAUAAUAUGAGAUAACAACGGUGCAUUUGACACCAAAAACAACAGCAACACAAUGAUAACAAGAUGAACACAAUGAGAACAAAUUUCGGAUACAAGAAGGACACAAAACAGUCCACUAUGAAUCUACAAAGUGUAAUAAGAUAAAGAUAGAUAGACCAAAUGAGGGAAUAAUAUUAACAACCCAAGAAUUGUUACCCCCUUGGAACUUUAAUACUACACACAACACUAACCUAUCUCCUACGUAGGCACAAGAGGGAUCUCGAUCUCCCAAGGACCAACGUUUCUAAGCUUGAAUCCAACACGAGUAAUUCCACACUCAAGUUGAUUUCCCUAGUUACAAUUUUAGAUUUGUGCCUCAAGGAGAGAGGAUUUGUCUUUCAAUAUUAGACAACAUUCAUCAUCAUCAAAAUCUAAUGAAUGAAUCCCAGAAGGUUGUAUUUAUUGUGUAUUACAAGAAUAGUGAGGAAUGUCCAAAAUGACCCCUUAGUCAAAGUCUUCAAGUGGGCUCCCUUGGAGUGUAUUGUAUGGAUUGAUUUUGGAGCCUAGUUAGGCCUUCCUUUGCACUUCACAUGUACACUCCAAGUCUCGGGUUCAUUCACUCUCGCACUCACCCACCUCCAAGUACCAGUAUCAUGAUACCAGAUGAUACAAGCAUGAUCACAAAAAUGAACGUUUUUGAGUAUUUUGGAUGUAACCUCAGAGGUUUACGAGUUGAAGUAUUAAAAAGGUCUCCAAACCGCCUCUAAAAACACUCCAUGGGUGCCUAUUUGCCUACUUGGUCAUUAAAGGGCCUUUUUGUCAUUUUAUCUUUUUAUUUGUAAAGUAAAGUUCAUUAGUUUUUGUUGAAUAUUGUUGAAAGAACACAUCUCUUGAGAGAGAGGGUCUCUAGGCCUAAACUAGGACAUGAACAAGUAUGGAUUCACUUGUGAUUGUGUAUUGCUUGGAAACGUUGGUGCUUGAGCGGUGGAAUCCCUCUUGUGUCACGUGUGGUGUUGCUAUUGUAAGUCUUAGGGGUCAUUAGAUUUAAUACAUCUUUGGGUUCUUAACCUUGUAAUAGUGUAUGUCUCACUUCCUAUCUUUACAUAUCAUGUACUAGUUGUGUAGUCUAGUGAAUCGUUUGGUUCUUGUUGUUCAUGUAAUCUUGUAAGCGUUGGAUUGUUGUUAUUGUACUGUUGUUCCUCUCGUUAUUGUUGUUUAUCUCUUGUUGUUGUUAGUGCUUUUGGUGUCAUUUACACCUUGUUUCUUGGUGUUGUUGGAAUCAAGAUAGAUACAUUUAAUUAAUAAGUAACUCUAAUUUCAGGGUAUGAAAUAUGUCAUUGAGGAAAUUCUACAAUAUCCUUCAAGGUUUGGCGGCUCGUGCAAUGCCAAAUUUCUAAAAGAGUUUAAAUUAAACUAGUUGACUGAUACAUUUAAUUAAUAAGUAACUCUAAUUUCAGGGUAUGAAAUAUGUCAUUGAGGAAAUUCUACAAUAUCCUUCAAGGUUUGGCGGCUCGUGCAAUGCCAAAUUUCUAAAAGAGUUUAAAUUAAACUAGUUGACUGAUACAUUUAAUUAAUGAAUAACUCUAUUUUCAAGGUAUGAAAUAUGUCAUUGAGGAGAUUCUACUACAUCCUUCAAGGUUUGGCAGCUCGUGCAAUGCCAAAUUUCUAAAAGAGUUUAAAUUAAACUAGUUGACUAAUACAUUUAAUUAAUGAAUAACUCUAUUUUCAAGGUUUGAAAUAUGUCAUUGUGGAUAUUCUACAACAUCCUUCAAGAUUUGGCAGCUCUUGCAAUGCCAAAUUUCUAAAAGAGUUUGAGAAAAUUCUGUUAAAAGAAGUAAUCGAGAUAUUCAUUCAGACAUGCUUUGGAGAAUCCUUGAAAGAAAAUCGCAACAACAAAAAAUAGAGAAAAGAAUAGGAUGUUGAUUGUGCAAAUAGAAUGGGGAGAAGGAUAUUUUGACAAUAUACAUAAUAACUAAUUACGUUUUUUUGGAGAUUUUAGUUUGUUAAUUUGAAGAUAUAAAUUACGAUUUACUCCUAAAUUUAGUAAAUAAAUUUUUGUUAUUUUUCUUAAUUAAUGCGCAUUAGUUGCUUUAUUGGGAUGUAUCUCUUGUUAAUGAAUGUAUCAAAAAAAUAAUAAAAUGAAAUUUUUUGUAAUUUUUACAAAAAUUGAGAUAAAGUGUAAUUAGAAAUAAACUAGUAGGAAUUUAUGUAAAACACCCACUAUUAUUUGAGCUUGUUUAAUUUGUACUCCCAAUCCUUAUGGGAAAUAAUUUGGGCUUAUUUAAUUUUUACUCCAAAAUCCAAAUCCUUAAAGGAAAUAAUUUGGAGUUGUUUAUAUUCGAAACCCUUGUAGGAUACUUAACCUAUUUAUAUAUAAUAAUAAUGUCCUCAGAAUUAAAAAAAAAAAAAACAAAAACAAAGCUGCUUGCGUUUCUUCCCGCCUAAAAACCAUAAAAAUGGCAAAUUGGGCAGAAUUGCGUAAGGAUCUAAUUGAUUUGAUUGCAAAACGUGUUAAGGCGAUAGAAGAUUUCGUUGCAUUUGGGUCUGUUUGCAACUCAUGGCGUAGUUCAGCAAUUAAGGUUAAUUUCGACUCUCUCUCUCCUCAACUUCCAUUGUUAAUGCUUGCAGAUAAAGGUGAUGAUUAUCGAGAAUUUUACUCUCUUUCUAAGAAGAAAGUUUCACGCGUAUAUCUUCCCGAGGUUAAAGAGCGCCAGUGUCAUCCAACGGAGGGAUGGAUCUGCACCGUAGAAUUUGAUACUACAGAAAUGACUUUGUUGCAUCCUUUCACUCCCGUUAAUACCAAACUCCCUCUAGAAAAAGAGUUAUGGGAUUUAGCAGAAGAGGAAUUUCCUGAUCCUGAACUUAGAAUGCGUUAUUAGUGCACGAACAGAGCUGUCUUAUCUGCCGGUCCUUCUGUUAUGUCAGAUUAUGUAUUGGCGGUUUCCUACUAUGCAAAUUACAGUUUCUUGGCUUGUUGGCGACCUGGAGACUUAAACUGGACUUAUGUUGACAGUGAUCACUAUGGUGGUGUCUCCUCUACGAUUUACCAUAAAUGACAAUUUUAUUAUGUUACUUACGGUGGAGAAAUUUGGUCUUUUAGCGUUCCAGGGCCCAGCAUUCCACAACCAAUUGAAGUUGAAGCAAUGAAGCUUGUUCGCCUUGAAAAAUGGUGGAAGUGUCAACGGCAUGGAUAUCUCCUCGAGUUAUCAGGGAUAUUCUUAAUUAUUCUCCGAUUUACUGGGAAUAAGUUUGAAGUGUUUGAAAUAGAUGUAAACAAGGCUGAAUUGAAAGAGGUUAACACGUUGGGAGAUUAUGCGGUAUUUGUGGGCUUUAAUGUAGCAAUUUGCAUUGAUUUCUCUAAGUUUGCCAGAGUCAAGUCUAAUCAUAUAUAUUUUACUGAUGAUGAUAACGAGAAAUUUGGGGAAGGUGACGGUGGUGGAAGAAAUACGGGGGCUUAUAGUCUUGAAGAUGGAAAAGUUGAAUCCUUUUAUCUUGGAGAGUCACUAAGUCAUAUUUGCCCGCGUCACACCAUCAUUUUGAUGUCUCGUUUCAGUUUGGUGAUCUGUUAUAUAUUGGGUUGUUUGUCUCUUUUCAGUUUGGCUAUGUAUUAGAAUUUUAAGUUUAAAGUUAAAUUGGAUCUAAUGUUCUUUUUCUAUGGAUGAUGUAUGAAUGUUAUGGUAUUUAAUCGAAUUCUAACUAUGCUUACUUGAGAUGGUUGAGACUCGUGAUAUCUCGUUUGCAAAUAUAACUCCUUUAUUUGAUUCUCCAGUGCAUUAGCCAGACUGGCGUUAUGUAUCUGCUUUCGUUAAUGUGAACGUAUUAUUCUUCUGUUUCUUGACUUAUAGCUGAUUUGGACGAUACUCAAGUCACCUAAGGUGUUCGACGAUCUGUUACAUUGUGGCUGCACAAAGGUAUUUGUGGAGGUGCAAUCCAUUACUCAAUCGAAAUCCCUGAUGAUGAAGCUACAGGUGAUAAAUACAGUAAAAUCCAGCUGUUCAAUGACAAACCCAGAAAGAUUUGCCACUGCAACUUCUCUUGAUCGUGGUUAGUCUCUUAGACAUGUACCAUGCUGGGCUUUUCAUGGAACUUGAAACUAUUGUUGAUUUAUUUCUAGAUAAAAAUUGUACGACGAAUGAGGAUGAUGUUCCAACAGGUGAAAGGCCAUCAGAUUAAAAUGAUACCUGCUGUUGAGCAUGGAAAAUCUAAUGAGGGGCGAGUGUACAACAGGUUGCAUUGUUCAAUCAUAGUUGUGGACGACUUCAAGAAACUCCUUCAUAAUUCAGCUUGUCAUAUCAAUAACACUUCCACUGAUUAAGUCUUUCAAAUAGAUUUACUUUAGCUCUGGUGCAAAUUUCCUUGUCGCUGUUCAUGGAACUGCAACGAGUUUUUGUGUUUGGGAUCUGGGAAUACGUUUCAAUCCCAUGGCUCCUAUAGGUUAUACAAUGGACGUGGAGCGACCACAGUUGUUGGACUCUACCAACAAGCUUUGCUUCAUUCCAUAUACUAACUCUAUGGCUCAAGUAUAGGAUCCACGAUUCUGUAUGAGUAUUCCUACAAUGCUGAUUCACAAGUGGAAGUAUCACAAUCUUCUUGUGAUGGUUUGCACUCAACGACGAACAAAUACCUCGACAUUGGUAUCCACGGGAGACUAAGGGGGACUAAUGGUACUGUCGUGGUCAGCAAGGAUCAAGCAAAGGUUGUUGAGCAGUCUUAUCCGCAACAUCUGCAGGUACAGUCCCUGGGACAACAAACAGAAAGCUUUGCUGUCAACUAUUGACAUCGAUGUAGUUGAGUUUGUCACCCUUCAAGCAAUUGAAUUCUGGAGUAAAAUCCCUAAGCUAUUUGGUCUACAAUGCUGCAAAAUGAACUGUUUGAAAAUAAUAUGACCUCCCUAAUAUACUUACCGGAAAUAAGUGAAAUUAUUUUCUUCCUUUUGUUUAUGUUGAGUUUCUUUUUGACAGAAUUAAAUUUUAGGAAAGAUGCAUGUACUAGUGAUAUCGUUGCCUUUGGAUAUAUUAGUAGUCAUACUAUUAGCCCUUACUUGUUACUUCUUUGGUAAAUCAAGGCGUCGAUGGUAAGAGUGGAUGGAACUUUUCUGAUCGAAAACAACUUCUCUAUCUCUAUGAGAAGUAAGAAGGUAGGGUUAAGUUUGCGUAUGUUUUGUUCAAAGAUUAUAGUCUAUCCUA